rnacentral:lncRNA from 1 species
AUUUGGCUGAGUCUGAGAUUUGAAAGAAUUUAUCAGAGCAUAUCAAAUGGAUUUACCCUGACAUAUGAAGAUGAUGAGAUAUUGAGAUAAUUAUGUGCAUGGUUGUGUGGGUUUCACAGCAGUAGUAUAACAUGUGCAGGUCUCUGGAUGCUAAUUUCAAUACACGAGUCUUUCGAAAGUAGAGUCAAGUGUCUGAGUAUGUGAAUCAGUAGAAAUAUGACAUGAGUAAUGUGGAUGAUGAACGUGAUAAAACCUUGAUGAACUUGUGAAAAUGUGUGAAUAUUGAUGGUUUAUGUUGAUAUUUAAAGUGUUAUAUUUGAAAUUUUAAAAAUAGCUAGCUUACCAUGUGCUUUGUCUUGUGUUUGUUUUCUAUAAUCUGUGAUGAGUGUUAAUUUAUAUAGGAGGAGAUGAAGUUGCAGGUGAUAGAGCUCUUCAGUGCCAGAGGAACAUAUGUUUUAUGUUGAAUGUUUUGUUUGUAAACUUUUGUGUAAAUAUUAAAAUCCCUAUGAAGAAUGAUAUAUUUUUAAGAUAUAGUUAUGAAAUAGUUAUAUAUAUUCAUAUGUUAAUUAAAUAUUUCUUAUUUUAUUGUUAUUUUAUUAUGUAUAGGUAAAAUUAGGGAUGUUACAAAAUUAAUAACAUUAAAAAAUAUAUUUAUAUCAAAAAAUAGUUUUGAAAUACAUUGCAUACUUUAAAAUAAAAUCGAGUAUCUUAUUUUGAAUAUAAUAAACAUUUAAGUAACUUUAAAUCAUAGAUAUGACUGUCUUACUCUUUACCUUGCUUAGUAAACUACACUAACAUUUUCGAGGUUGCACAAAAUUACACACUUUUUUUUCCACAUUUACAACAAUUCAGUCUAAUAUUUCUCAAACAAUGAAAGGAGAUCAGUAUAAUAUAUAAAAAAAAGUCUAUGAGAUAUUGUUUUUCAAACAAUUAAGCUGUGUUACUUAAGAAUAAAAAAAUAAUAAUAAAAUAUUUAGUUUCGCAAAACCUCAAUAACAACAUAAUUACUCAUCACUUAAUAAACACUCAUUACAUCAUGAAUGUUGAACCUGGAACAGUUGUACUUAUAUACACAAAUAUUCAACAUUUUUCUUAAUUCACAGACAUUUGUUUUAUUACAAACUCUCAUAAAACUUUUUGUUAUGAAGUUUAGAGGUAACACAUAGUAGUUAGCUUUAUUACAUUGCAUUACUUGUCUUGUUAAGGAAGUCAAAUGAACAAAUUAUAAUAAAACAAUAAAAAUUAUUAAUGAAAAGAUUACUGUAUUUUACACCAAUAUUUUGUGAUAAAGAUCAAAUACCCUCUAAUCGUACAGAUUGAACUUUUAAGUUCUUAAGGAAAAAAUGUUGUGUUUUCAAUACUUUUAGUUAAUUGUGUGUUUCUAUAUAGGUUUUUAUUUAAAAGAUAAAGUUUGGAUUUUUUUUAUUAAAUACUCUUUCUAACUGAAUAUAAAAAUAAAAUGCGAUUCAGUUGGCUUCAGUUUAAGUUUAAUAUAAAAUAUAGAUCAAACCAAACUAAUGUUUUAUGUUUUUGAUUUACACUACAAGCCAAUAAACCAAUAUUUAAAUAUACUACAAUAAUUAGUUGCAAAAGUAAUUAAAUUAGAGACCAUUUUAAAUUAUUUUUUUUGUUUUUAAAUUAGUUUAUAUUAUUGUGUAAUAGUUUCUAAAUUGGUAUCUAAUUAACAAUUAAGAUUUAUACUAGCAAAUUUAGAAUCUAAAUAAUUGGUAGUUAAAACCUUGGUAGCUAAUUAGAUACUAAUUUAUAAACUAUUUCACAAUAAUAUAAACUAAUUUAGAAACUUUUUUUUUUAGUUUAUAAAAUAGUUUCUAAUUUAGUUACUAUUGCAAUUAAUUAUUUUGAUCUCUAAGUAUUGGUUUUUAUUUGAUGAUUUUCUUAUAGUAUUAGAAUCACAAUUUGUGUCAUCAUAAAUUGUUAAAUAUUUUAUAAUAAAACAAUUGUCAAGUAGAGACACAUAUUAUGAAUUAUUUUUUUAUGAUUUUGUUAUAAUCAUAAUUUCAAUUUUUUUUCUCGUAUUUUUAAAGAAAUUACCUAAUCUUAUAGUUGAAAAUUAAAAUACAAAUAAAUUUGUUAUAUUUUUUUAAUAGGUAUAAAUAUAUUGUAAGUAAACUAUAAAAUUAUAAAAUAACCUUAAGAAAAACUAAAUUCAAAGAAAAUUAAACUUUUAUUUUUUUUGUUAAAUUUAUUCGAUUCUAGAUAUUCCUAAUAACAAAUUCUAUAGCAUAUUUCAAACUAUAAGAGAUAAAUAUGUAGUAAAUACUACAGUAAAAUAGUUGUGACAAUCUAUAUACUAAUUUAUUUUUACCUUUUCAUAUUACAUGCAUUAAUUUUAUAAAAAGGUAUAUAAUGAUAUUAUUGAAUGGAUUUUUAAAUGGUCAAAUUUGUUAUUUAAAAUUUUAUUAAAUGUGAUUAAUGAGGAAAGAGAAUUAUAUAGGUAGUAAUAAAUCUAGAAGAGAUAUAUAGUGUAUAUUAAAUAGUAGAAUCCUUAAGUAAAUGAGAUAUAUAUAUUUCAUUACUUUUCAUGUUUCUACACUACAACUUGCUAUAUAGUAAGUAUAAGAAGUUGCCUGGUUUUGUUUUGUUGUGAACUAUUAUCUAAGGAGAUAUAAUGUUUUCUUGUGUAAUAUUAUGGGAGUGAGUAUAUUUGAUUUUGAGUCUAGUAGAGGUGUUUAAUAUGUGUUUUUGACAAGUGUUUAAGUUAAAAGUGAUAGUAAAUCAAUGUGUUUAUUUAAUGAUGAUUUUGAUUAUGCAUUCAUUUUUUUUAUUAUUCUAUUAUUUCUUAUUUCUUAUCUUAGUAUGAUCAAAAUAUAAAGUAUUAAUCAAUUUUUAAAAUAAUCUUAAAAUUAAAUUUGCAUUGAAAAGCUAUUUUUUUAUCCUUUUUAAUAUAAUAAUCGAUUAACUUCAUAAACUAUUUUAUAAUCGAUUAUCCCAAAUAAAAAUCUACUCUUCUAGUAAAAAAAAAUUCAAAAGUUUCGCAAAUAAUUGAUUAUGUUAUGUGAAAAAUAUUUUCACAAAUAAUCAAUUAUCUUGAUUUAAAAUUGUUUAUGGGUGACAUGAAUGACAUAAUAAUCGAUUAAAUUUAAACAUAAUCAACUAUAUUAAUAAGUAACCAUAAAACUAUUUCAAAUCGUUAUAAAAAGAAAAGUCUUCAAGUUUUCUCAUAAGAACACAUAUCAAUACUUUUGAAAAGAACUUGGUAACUUUCUAAAUAAAAGUUUUCUUUGAGUAUUAUACAUUACAUCUUGUUAAAAAGAAUUGUUCAAGCACUAUAAGGAAACACAAUAUUAGAGACCAAGAGGGAGCGAUAACUAAAAGAUUCGGUCAAGACAACCUUAAUUUGACAACAUGCAACAUGUGAAGAGGAAAGCUAGAGUCAGGUUGACACUACCUUAAAGGGUGGAGAAGCUAGCUCCAAGAAAAAGAAAAGCUAGAACUUGGCCCUUACUAAUUUUGUGAGUUUGGUAGGGUUUAGAGUGGACUAGACCAUCUCAUGUUGACAGGUUUAAGUUAAGGUUUGGUCCUCGCUAAUUUUGUGAGUUUGGUAGGUUUAGCAUGGACUAGACCAUCUCAUGUUGUUAAUUAAGUGUAACCUAUGGCUUGGUCAUCACUAAUUUUGUGAGUUUAUGAGGGUUUAGCAAGGGUUAGAUCGUCUCAUGUUGACAAGUUUAAGCUAGGGUUUGAUCCUAGCUAAUUUUGUGAAUUUUGUAGGGUUUAGCUCUCUCUUCACAUGUUAACUAAAAUUCUGGUAACUAAUUAGAUAUCAAUUUAGAAACUAUUUAUUAAUAAUAUAAACUAUUUUAAAUACCAAUAUUUUUAAAAUCUUUAAAAUAGUAUCUAAUUUAGUUAAUUUAGUGACUAAUUAUUUUUUGUCUUUAAAAUUAGUUUUUAUUUGAUAAUUUUCUUGUAGUGAUAUAUAUUAAGAAUAUCAAGUUAUGGAGAAUGUUACAAUACGUUGACUAUCAUGUUAUAUUUUAAAAGUAUAUUUUUGUUGUAUUUUUUAUCUUCAAUACAAUAAGGGGGAAAAUACCAUUGGUAUCUUAAAAUAACAAAAGCACGAAAGUAUAUUUGUAAUGUAUAUAAACAUUUUAACACAAAAUAAAUGCAAUUUUACUGUAAAGUAGACAUAAUGAAAAGAUGUUAUAGUAUUGGAAGAUCCAUCCUCCAUAAUCAUAGAAAUGAACUACAAGUGUAAAGGAAAAACAAUGUUAGGCACCUCUUUAAGAUUAUGAAAUGAAAACAUAUAUCUGUUGUCUGAUUUGGAAAUGUGCUUGUUUGUUCGAAUUCAAUUCUCAUGUUAUAAAAACUUGGAAUGUUCCUCUCGGGCUUCAAUGGUUUUACCCAAGUGGGUGAAGUAAUUCAGUAAGCCCACUAUGAGUGGGAAGAAAACUGAGAUAUGCUAAAAGACAUUGCAUAACAUAUAAGACCAAGAAUUAGGCUACAAUAGUUGAACUUAAACUUGGACCACUUUGAAAUUUGUCCACUGUGAUUGGUUCAAUAUUCUGUUCGAAAAUAAAAAUGUGGGAUGUAAGAGCCUGUGCAUCACUUUUCACUUUAUUUUUAAUCCAAAUAAUAUCAGUUUCUUUCUUUUGUUUUCUCCAUAAUUUUCCACUCUCACAUAUCCUCAUUCAAUUUAAAUAAAAUAUUAAAGAAAAACAAAAAUAUAUUUUAAGCUUAUUAUAUACGGAUUUUGCUUAUAUUUUAAGCUUGAUUUAUUUUAUUAUAUUAAGUAUUUAAAAAAUAUAAUUUUUUUAAAUAAAUCUUUAUUAUUUUUUUAAUUAAGUUAUGUGACUAUUAUCUUAUCUUAUUAUUUUAUUUAAUUUUUUUAAUAGUUAAUAUAAAAUAAUAGUAUCGUUAAUUAAUAAAGUAAUUUUUAUGAUUUUUACGUUAUUAUAAUAUCGUUAAUGCAUGUGAGAUGAUAUAUCCUUUUUAUUCCACAUAUUUACAAUAAAAACAAUAAAAUAGAUUUAUUAUUUUACAUUAAUUAUAUUAUCAUUUUAUAUUAAUUAUAAAAUUUUACAUUUUUUAAUGUUCAAAAAUAAAUAAAUAAGAUUGUGAAACAAAAUAACACUUAUAUUAUCUAUUUAACAAACACAGUUAAAUAAUAAAUAUUUAAUUAAAAAUUAUAACUUUUAAGUAUUUAAUAAAUAAAUAAAAUUAAUACAAGUUUAACUAAAUAUACAUAAAUUAAAUUUAUGAGAGACUUGAAUUAAGAAUAUACAUUAUAUUUGUAAGAUUUAUUAAUAAUUGAACACUGUUCAAAAUAUACAACCAUUGACGCGUUACCUUUUGACUUUCUUGAGUUCAUUUUGAAAAAAAGGGUAUAGUUUGGAUGAGUGCUUAUCAUUGUCACUAACUCACUUUUCAUACACAAUUUAUGCAAAAUGUACAGCGGUUGAUGGUCAGAGACAACCUAAUUUUUAUGUGCUUCCUUUCUUUGUCCAGAAGACUUUUCAUUAUAAAGAGUGUGAAUAGGGAAGAAACAUUAUGAAUUAAUUAUUAUUAUUAUUAUUAUUAUUAGCUUUAGUAUAAGUCUGGAUCUGGCUUAUUUAUUUAUUACAUAGUUUGAGUUUAAUCUGUUUAACAGUGUGAUUUGACCUGAAAACAUGUUAGUAGCUUGUUUUUAUAAGAAAAAAGUUAUAAACAAUCAAAUAAAUUUAACUAGGCUAACAAACCUAAAAUGAUAAUAGAUAUUAAUUAUUAUAUAAUUUUUUAUUUUUGAAAGACUAAUAUUAAAUUACAUAAGAAAGUUAAAAAAAUAAUAAUAAGUCAUUAUAUUAAAAAUUAACAGAUCCACAAAACAUAGGGAGCUACUUAUUUUGUCAUAGAAUAAAAAAUAAGAAAAAGUUUUAUAAGCUAAAAUAAUUAAACAAUAAGCAAGAUCAAUUAAUAACCAUUAAACAUUUGUAGCUUUAUGCUAUUAACCUCUAUGUUUUCUCUUAAAAUUAAAAAUUCCAUAUUAAAAAAUAUCUUAAUUAUUUAACACAAAAGUAUAGCAAUUGUAUAGCAACCGAGAAAAAUAAUCUUAGUGUAGAAGAAAUACAAUUAAAAUGACACUUGAAUAUUUUAUUAUUAAAGUUAAAAGAGCAUAUAAAUAGAAAUUUAGUUAUUAAAGUUUCAUCUUAAAAAAUACAUCCUCUUUCUAAAAACUCCUUUUCCUUUCAUCUGUCUUUUGUAUAAGAUUAUGAUCUCCUUGCUCAUCAGUUUGACGAUCAGAUUCCACCAUCAGACUCUUGGUAGUGGAUACUACAAGACUGCCUGAUCAGAAUCUUUGAUAGAGUAAGCUCAUUUUUGUUCUUCUCUUUGAGUCAAAUUUUGAACUUGUUAGGUUGUCUUUGUCUUUCGCCUUUUCUAUUUCUUAUUGCGGCUGAAGGUUUGGUAGGCGUGUCAAGGAUGGCAGAUGAGAAAGGUUUGAUUGAUAGUCUAGAAAUUGGGGACAGGAAAGUGAAGGUUAAUAUGCUACAGUACACAAACGAUACUAUGUUCUUUUGUGAAGUCAAUUCUAAGAGUGUGUUUAACAUUAAGGUGGCGUUAAACUGUUUUGAAUUGUGCUCUGGCCUUAAGGUGAACUUCUUGAAAAAUAGGAUUGGCGGGUUGGGAAUUGAUCAGAUUACACUGCAGCGGUUUGCGACUGUUCUUAAUUGUGAGAUGAUGACAACUCCUUUUAAAUAUUUGGAAUUGUUGGUUGGGGGAGUCACAAGAGAGAUGUUUUUUGGGGUGGUGUGAUUGAAAAAUUGAAGUCAAGGCUAAGUAGAUGGAAAGGUAGGCUUCUCUCCCUAGCCGAGAAAAUUUGCCUUAUUAAGUUUGUGCUUUUGUCAAUUCCACUAUUUUAUAUGUCUUUAUUUAAAUUGUCUGUUGUAAUUUUAAAAGAGAUUGUGAGAAUCCAGAGGCAUUUUUUAUAGGGGUGGGGGUCGGAAGGGAGGAAGAUCGUUUGGGCUUCUUGAAAGAAAGUUUGUGAGUCUCGAGAGGCUGGCGGUUGGGUAUCAUUGAUUUGAAAGAUUUCAAUUUUGCUCUCUUAUGAAAAUGGAUUUGGCGUCUUGGGACGGACAAGAGUGGCUUGUGGAAGGAUAUUCUUGAGUCCAAAUAUGGAGGUUGGAGAAGUCUGAGAGAUCAAAGGAAUAAUGUUAAGGAAUCUCUUUGGUGGAUAGACUUGAAGGAGGUUUGGGCGUUGGAGAGUUGGGGAAGGAGUUUUGAAAAUCGUUUCCAGUGGAAGAUUGGUAACAUGAAGAAAAUCAGUUUUUGGGAUGAUGAUUGGGCGGGUUGUGGUGUUUUGAAGAGGGUUUUUACGAGGCUGAGUUCUUUGAGUAUGCAUUCCGAGUCUAAGUUAGUCGAGUCUGGGGUUUGGGUUGAUGGUAUUUGGGAGUGGAAUUUAGCUUGGAGAAGGAACCUGUUUAAGUGGGAAAGGGUUUCAGAGAGUCAACUCCUUUUGAAGAUCCAAGGUUUGAGGAUGGAGUGAGAUUUGGAUGAUGGUUGGGUCUGGAAGGAUAGCAAGUUGUCUUCUUACUUGGUUAAUUCUGCUUAUGCUUUCCUAAGGGGUGAGUUCGAAGGGGGAACAAUUCCAUGUAUGUCAAGUUUUGGAGGACUAAAGCUUUGUCAUCCGCCCAUUUCACUGCUUGGAAGGUGUUAGAAAAUAAACUAACCACCAAGAAUAAUUUGGUGAGGAGGGGAGUAAUGACCGAGAGCAAUAUGUGUGUUUUGUGCGGGUUGGAAGAGGAGUCUUGCAGCCAUUUGUUCUUCGAGUGCAGAUUAACUUGACUUGUCUGAAGUUAGUGUUACGCUUGGUUAGGUUUGGCGUUCGUGGAUCAUUCUGAUUCGCGUGCUCAUUUUCAACAGUUUAGGUUGUGUAGUGCAUCUGAAUCCGUUAAUGCGGUGUGGGGGACAAUUUGGAUUGUUGUAGUAAGUGAUAUUUGGAGUCUCAGGAAUAAGAUAAUCUUUAAAGGAGGGGUGGUGGAUGCUUCAGAAGUAUUUGCUCUUAUUCAAUUAAAGGCUUCUUUGUGGUCGUCUCCAAGGUACCAUUAGCUUGUUUUUCUUACUCUGACUGGUGUCUUGAUCCUCUGGUUUGCAUGAACAUGAUUUAGUGUUGUUUUUGUGUGUUGGAUUUAUCUUAGAUGUUUGGUUGGAUGUUGGCUUAGUCCUCUGUUUUGUGCUCAGAGGAUGAGUAUAGUUAUGUAUAAGGGUUGGAUCACCCCUAAAGUGGUUCCUAUUUAUUGAAUCUUUAUUGUUGAUAAAAAGAAUGUUGUCUCUGUCUUUGCUUUGCAUGUGACUCUUUUAGCUUCAAGGUGAAUCUCUAUUAGUUCGGGGUCCUAGUGAUAUAGUUAAAUUUUUUAUUAGGACUCUAUGGUGCAAUUUAAUUACCUUUAAGCUUUUGGUAGAUUUCGAGCUCUUAGUGAGCAUCUGCUCAAGUUCAGGUAAGAGAAGCUAGCCUUAAUUUCCAAUAGAACACUAGGCUAGAAGAUCUGGAUGUGAGGGUGACGUGGUCACCAGUCUCAAACUUUCUUGUAGGAUUGUUUGUUUUAAGUAUAUUAGAAGUUGAUUGAGAUUUGAAUGUGAAAUUUUAUAUAUGGUAGAUGUUAUAAAAUUAUAUUUUUUUUUAUUUGAAUAAGUAAAUGAAUGUAUUUAAGUAGUUUGAUGAAUCACUUAAAGGAUAAUGUUGUUAAGUAUUGAUUGUUUGGUUUUGAUUUAGAGUAAUUGUUCAACUUUAACCAGGACUUUGUACUUUGGUUUAGUAUAUUUGAUAAAAUAAAAAUUUGAAUGAAAAUAUUAGGUACUCUCGGGUCUAUUUUCGCUAAAAUAAGAUGGGAUCUUGUUCAAAGCAAAAAUGGGAUAAUUUCUGAAGUACUUUCUGGUCCAUUUUCGCUAAAACUACAUGGAAUUUUGUUCAACUGAAAAUGGGGAAAGUCUAGAGUGUCGCUAGUCCAUUUUAGUUCAAACCAAUUUUUUUCGCUCAAGCCAAAAAAUUCUUGAUGCACGCGGGUAUAUUUUCGCUCGCACUAAAAUUUUUCGUUCAAACCAAAAAAAUCCUAGGUGUAGGUCUAUUUUUGCUCACACUAAAAAAUUUUCGCUCAAGCCAAAAAAAAUUGUAAAAAAAGAACUGAAUAUUUAAUAUUUGCUUUUAAAAGUUGGUUUAUUUCUUUCUGUAAUUUUUACUUAUACAUUAUGUAAACUUUUAUUUUAUGUAUAUUAAAUUGAAAAUUUAUUUAAUUAGAUAUUAUAUGAUUAUUGAAUGAUGUGUUUUGGAAAUUCUAAACUUUUGUAUGAUUUGAUUGUGUGAUUUUGGAUAUUGCGAGAUUCAGAAUAUGAAUUUUAAUCAAGACAUAGUAUUUUCAAGAAAAAAAUAGCGUGUAAAGAUUGUUUAGGAUGUGCAUUGACUAGAGAUUCUCUCUGAGUCUAAGUCAACGCACGAGUCUUUCGAAAGUAGAGUCAAGUGUGUAUGUGUUGUGAGUCCGUAAAAGUCUGACUUGUGAAAUAUUGUUACGAAGUGGACUUUAAGUCUAACUCAACCCCAUAAAACCGGCUCAUAGGAUUGAGGUUUGCACCCACUUAUAUACGAUGAAAGGCUCUAAUCUCUAGUCGAUGUGGAAUCUCCAAAAUAUAUAUAUAUAUAUAUAUAUAUUUAAUGUAAUAAUUAAAUUAUGUCCUUCUUAAUAAACGAAUUAGACCAGAGCUUUAGGUAUUGAAGCCAUAGGUCCUUAAACUUGGCCGUUGGCCUGAUCUAUUUCCAUUCCUAAAUGUCAAUGCUGGUUUAAGUUCAAAUAUGGUUGGUUUGGUUCAACCCAAAUCUUGAAUCUUGAUGAAGACUAAGGUUUUGAAGGGUUGUUUUGUUGUUAACAGCUGCUUAUGCUGAAUACUGUGCUCAAAUUCUCUAAUUCUCUGUGUCUGCAUCAAUUUUCUAAAAUGAAAAUAUAUAUCAUACAAAAUACUGAAACUUCAAUGUCAUCAACCUUGCCUGACCAAACUAACCACACCAAUGAAUAAGAAACUAUCUCCUUAAACACUUUACAUUAACAACAUAUGUGUAUGUUUUCAAACUCAUCUUAAGAUCGAAUUUUAAAAGGUUUGAUGAUGGAUCCCUCUUAUAGAAAGUAUAAUAAUGAUGAUGGAAAGAGAAAACAAUGAAUAAGUUUUUAAUUUUAGUGAGUUGUUGUUAUUGCUUAUCCCACAAUCUAAGUCCCCUUAUUUGGUUUAUUUGGAUAAGAUGGGACCAAGUGAUUAGGACUUUAUAUUAUUAAAAGUAAAGCUAGUGGGUAUUACUCUUUGGAGUCAUUCUUCAAUUUCAACUACAUAAUCAUUCUCAGUUAAUUAUUAUUAACUUCUCUUUGAUUCGUUUCAUACAACAAAACUACUACAUUAACUUUCAUCCUUAAUUAGACAAGAUGGACCCAUUUUUUUUAAAAAUAUUAAAAUAUACGUUUAACAGUUUAGCAUAAAUAAGAAAUAUUUCAAAAGAUAAACUUGUAUUCUAAGUAUUUUAUUUAGUUAUAUACUUAAAAUUUGAAUUAAAAGUUAAACUAAAACCAUUUUUAAUAAUAUACAUACUUAAAACUCAAUUUACAUCCACUUAUAUAUGUUAAGAUAAAUUUUAAAUGACUCUGAUAACAUAUUAAGAAGUGAACUUUAAACAUAACUCAAUCUUUUAAAAUCAACUCAUAAAAUAAAAUUUACACUUAUUUAUAUAUAAUAAAAUAUUUUAAUAUUUAAGAGAAUUGAAAUUUCCAACAAUAAUUAAAUCAUUGAAACCAAAAUUCAAUCCAAUAAAACUUGUAUUCUUAAAAAUGUAUUUUGGGAAAAUGAAAUGUAGAUUUUUCUGUAGACAAAAUCUUGCUAUAUGCAGGAAGCAAAGUCCAAACUUGGGAAAGUAGAUGAGCCUGCGAAACUUUGACUCUGUCAACAAGUACAAAAUCUUGCUAAAUUCAUUUUACUAUUUCCAAUGUUUCAUCUAUUAUAAAAUUGAAACUUGCAACAUUCCCAUUCCAUCACAUUCCACGCCUAAAAAUAGAUCACUGACGUUAUAUGACGUGAGACCCUACGUCAAUACGCACAGUAAAAUAAAUGUAUUCUAAUUAUCAUACAUAUCUAUCUUAAAGCAACUCCUUUAAAAGACUUAUUUGACCCCACAAUUCUCAAAAAUCAAAAGAUAAAUUAGAAGCAAGGAUAACAGAGUGGGAAUUUCCUCCAUAAUAGAACAUUUGAACUCAGUAUUAACAUUAAGACUAUAUAUAUUUAGAAUGAAAGAAACGUAGGGGUAAAGGAGAAGAAAUAUUAAUAUUGUGCUAAAUGCAUCAAAGUCUUGUUACUUUUUUAUGGAAGUCUUUCAUCACUUUUCCACUUGCUUCCCACUACCAAUUUCCAGAACCUCAGGUUUUCUUUUAGUAAAUUAUAAAUCAGAGUUCUGUUCAUAAACAGACUGCUCAAAGAAUCAAUGAAUCGUUUAAAUUACUCAUAAAAAUAUGUACUUUAUCAAAAUAAAUAUUAUCUAUAUUAUAACAAAAAAUAAAAUAAAAAAUUUAGAUAAAGUCUCCAAUGGUGUAUGUUAAACUUUGUUUAAUUUUUUAAAGUCUAUAAUUAAUCAUGGAGAUCAACAACGAAUGGCAGUAAACAUGACUAAAAUGAAAAAUACUUCUUAUUAAGUGAUUUUCUUAGCUUUUAUCUUUUAAUAGAGAAGAUCUUUUUCUUUUUGAAAUUAGAAUAAUUUGUAAUAUAAUUUAAACUAUCCUUAAAGAAACAUGGAGUGUAAUUUCCACUGCUUUUUUUUUAUUAAGAUUGUUGAAUUCCUCUUAACUGAAUUCCAUAUUUUGGUCCAAUCAUUGUGAGAUUCAAAGGUUUUUUCUUCACUCUUAAACAGUUAGUUAACAGUAUAUAUAGGUUCUCAAGUUGAGUCUUGUUAAUACUGGCAUUUGUCUUAUUUGUUGCGAUUCUACCAACCUGAACUCCUAAUCCACCAACUUUCUUAUUUAGAAAACUGUCAAACGCUGCUAUUGCUAUUUGGCUUGGCUAUAUCUCUAUGACACUAGUCAAAGACCAGUUCUAACCUCUCUUCUCUCUCUAAACACAAUUCUCAGAUUCGUACUCAUCUUUCUGUGUACAAAAUGGCAGGGUAGGAAGAGUGCUAUGAUUCUUGUGCUUCUUGGUUUCUAAUUUCGCAGGUACACUUCCUCCCUGUGGUGAUUCAUCUUAAUUUCCAUCCACAAAAUCUAGAUGAUAUGUUUCAAAUACUGUAACUUAUUGCUCCUUUUGAUGAAUGCUACUAUCUGUUGCAGUCCUAGUAAACUGAUUUCAAUCUGCAGCAGAUGAUACGUGUUAUAGUGUGAUGCAUGCAUGUGAUUGCAGCAGAUGAUUCCAAUCCUCAGUUCUUCCUCUAAGAAAGUUUUUAACUUUUCCUUGUAUAGGUCUCUGGUCCCAAAGGGUUUUUGUUAAGCCUUUUCUGUUACUGUCACUUGAUCUAUCUACUCGUAUAUUGGGCUACAAUUUCAAAUAAGAAUUGGCUUUUGGUUCGAAGUAUUGCUUUUGUCUUACAAAAUAUGCUGUGGAUUUUGAGGCCGGUGAUUCUCCCAUCUAAACACAAAUAAAGAUAUAGAUACUAUCAAAAGAGUUUUGUGCAAGAUUAUCAGUUUUAGCCAAACUUAUUUGAAGCCUUGUUUUACGAGUCUCUUGAUAAUAACAUCUUAGUUAGUAUUUGCAGUAGGAAUUUCUUAUCAAUAUGAUUUCUGGUUAGAUUUAUCUUAUAUGACUUUGGAAGAGCAAAUGUCAUAUCUCUACAAUUUGAAUGUCUAAAGAAUCAUCGAACAAUUUGGGGUUUUUUUUCUUUUUGUUUCCGGAGCAUUUGAUUUGAUUUCAAGAGUUUGUUUUUAUGUGGAUCGGAUCUAGAAUCUAGAAUCUGCAGAUAGAAAGAAGAUCAUAGUUUAAAUGAUAAAGCACACAAGAGGUUUUUAAUAUUUAUUUUACUUUUCCAAAUACAGAGCAGGCCACUAUGACAGGGAUAAUGGUCUUUGCUAUGCUAAGGUGGAAUUUUAAGCUGUCAACUCAUGUUUGACUGGAUCCAGUAACUAACUUUUAUUUUUAGAAGCAUAUUUGAAAUUCAUUCGCGUGGUUUGCCGAGUAGGAAAACAUUAAGUACUUGAACAAUUUCAACCAUGGUGGUUCAUCCGAGAUUCAAGUAGCACCAAAUCCUCUUUCCGUUGCCACACUGAAUAUGAUUAGUUCAAUUGCACAAGUUAUGCGAGAGAUAUUCUUAAUCUGGAACAUUAUUUUUCUCAGAUAAAAAACUUUUGUGAAUUUGAACAUGAUGGAUCAUCAAACCAACUGAUUUAGGAUGACUUUACUAUAUUUAUCUCUUGACUGAGGCAACAAAACUCAGUAGUGUAUCUAGUAUUUUUAUUUUUUUUUCAGUUCACAUGGAUUUAUAGUUCUACCUGAAAGUUCACCUAAUGUUUUUUUCUUCUUAUCCUUUUGUUUCUCUUAUCAGGGCAUAGUCAUCCUUUAAGGUUCAACAAGAUUUUAUCGCUGAGCAACUCUGCCUGCCGUACUGUUUCUCAAGGUGGGAAAGGUAAAAUAUAUAUAUUUAUAGGUUUUAUUUAUUACAGAUUUCAAAGAAUUUUACUGGCUAAUUAAUUAGUCAUGUUUUUUAUACAGCCUAAAAUUCUGCGUGAAUUGUAUAACAGGGGAAUUAUGUCAUUAGUUAGGUCUGUUGAUCUAGCUCCUACAUCGUAUAAAAAUGCCAAGCUCUUCUCACUAAAGGGAACUGAUGUUAGACCAGGUUUGUCCUCCCAAAUUUUUGGUCCUGAUAAGCAUAGGAGCAUGGACAUGGCAGAUUCUUACUCCAGCGAGAGUUAUGAGAAGUAUUUCCAUGACUGUCAAACAGAAGAACUGAUAGAACCAUCUAAUUCCAGCAUCUCUGGAAGCUCAAUUCCCCCUGAUGUAGCCUCUUCUUACCAGCUUACAGCCAGUUCAGAAGCUUCUGUGGUUGCCAAUAACCCAUUUGAUUGUUCUUUCAUGUCUACAAUGCAUCAUGAUGGUUAUCAGUCCAACUUUGGAUCAGAUUUGAUGGAUAAUGGAAGCCUCGAUUCCCGUAAAACUGACGGUCUAAUGAGUUUAAAACUACAAGCAUUGGAGAGGGCAUUGCUUGAUGAUAGUGAGGCUGAGGAGGAGGAGCUGGAAGAGGAAGACAUAUUUGAGGCUGUUCAAAGCAUGGAAAUUGAUCCAGACCUUGCUGAGUGGGCUGAUUCCAUGCAGAAUGUAGUCCUCCAUGACUCACCAAAGGAGUACUCUUCUUCAGAUUCCAGCAUCAGCAGCAUCAGCAGCACCAAAGAAAUAUCACUAACUUCUCAGACCCCCAAGCAGCUGCUUUAUGAAUGUGCUAUUGCACUUUCAGAAGGAAACGAAGUGGAAGGAUCAUCCAUGAUAAACAAUCUCAGGCAGAUGGUCUCAAUUCAAGGAGAGCCUUCUCAAAGAAUUGCAGCCUAUAUGGUUGAGGGACUUGCAGCUCGCCUAGCCGAAUCCGGCAAAAGUAUUUACAAAGCUCUGAGAUGCAAGGAACCUCCUUCUUCAGACCGUCUAGCAGCUAUGCAGAUACUGUUUGAGGUUUGCCCAUGUUUCAAAUUUGGAUUUAUUGCUGCUAACAAUGCAAUUACAGAAGCAGUGAAAGAUGACAUGAACAUUCAUAUCAUAGACUUUGACAUCAAUCAAGGAAGCCAGUACAUUAAUCUAAUCCAAACACUUGCUUCAAGGUCAAGUAAGCCACCCCAUGUUAGAUUGACUGGUGUUGAUGAUCCUGAGUCCGUGCAGCGAUCUAUUGGAGGCCUAAAGAACAUAGGACAACGACUAGAAAAACUAGCAGAGGCACUUGGUUUACCAUUUGAGUUCCGAGCAGUGGCAUCAAGGACUUCCAUUGUCACCCCAUCAAUGCUCAACUGUAGUCCUGGGGAAGCACUUGUGGUGAACUUUGCAUUCCAGCUUCAUCAUAUGCCUGAUGAGAGUGUUUCUACAGUAAACGAACGGGACCAACUUCUUCGGUUGGUGAAGAGCUUGAACCCAAAGCUUGUGACAGUUGUGGAGCAAGAUGUGAACACAAACACCACCCCCUUCUUGCCUAGAUUUGUUGAAUCCUACAAUUACUACUCUGCUGUGUUUGAGUCACUUGAUGUUACUCUUCCUAGAGAAAGCCAGGAUAGGAUGAAUGUUGAAAGGCAAUGCUUGGCCAGGGACAUUGUCAAUGUUGUUGCAUGUGAGGGCGAGGAUAGGAUAGAACGGUAUGAAGUGGCAGGAAAAUGGAGAGCAAGGAUGACAAUGGCUGGCUUCACUUCAUCUCCAAUGAGCACAAAUGUGACUGAUGAAAUCCGAAAACUCAUUAAGGUGAUGUAUUGUGACAGGUACAAGAUAAAGGAGGAAAUGGGUGCACUUCACUUUGGGUGGGAAGACAAAAACUUGAUCGUUGCAUCGGCAUGGAAGUUACCAAGAUAAUGAAUUAUGUUAAUUAGUAGACACACUUAUUGUAGUACUGGUAAUGUAGUCUUUGCUUGCUUGUUUAGUGUGUAGAAUAAUCCUGAUAUAUCUAUUGUAGCGUUUGCUUGCUAUACUACUAACUUACAAUCUUAAUCUAAUAACCAAAUUUUCAUUUUAUCUAACAUGGGUGGAGUAAUGGCCAUAUUUAUGUUUAAGGUAAUAAAUAUUUUUUAAUUUGAAAAUUUUCAGAAAUAAAAUUAACUAAUAUAACAUAAUGUGUUUGUCUUUUAUUUAAUAUAAUAAAUAUUAUAUAGUUCUUUUAGUUAAAAAAGUAUUCUCUUUUUUUUUCCUCCUCAUAAUUCCUUUGAAAUAUGCACUCAGUUACUCCUUUUUAAUGCUAGUUGUUAGGGUGGAUAAUCAAACUAAACCAUUCUACUAAAUGAGCCCUAUUUUAAAUGAUUCAAGAGUUAUAACAUAGGCUUACAUUCAACAAUGCUUCAUAAUGGUACAAAUGAUAAAUAUUUAAGGUCUUGAAGAUUCCUCUCUUAAAAGUUAGUUUCAAGGGAAAAAAUCAUAUCAUUUAAAUGUUUCACCAAAUGUCGCCAUCCAUACUUAGAUCAUGAUUCUCGCAUAAACUAUAAUUCAUUUAGCCUUAGCAACUCUUUACUAAUACAAUAUCAAAGCACAAAUUUUUAAAAAAAAAUGUUAACUACCAAAAAUUUGGUAUAGUUAAAAUUUGAUAUUUUUUUUAGUUCAUAUUGAAUGACACAUUAAAUGUUUAAGAGAAAUCCUACUGAUUUCACUACAAAUAAAAUCAGUAUUAUCUACGAAUUUUUAUCCACGGAUUUUAAUUCGUAGGUAAAUUCAGCAUUACCUACACACAACAUUAUUUACUAAUAUUACCUACAAAUCUGAAUUCGUAAGUAAAUUCAGCAUUACCUACCCACUAUUACUCACGGAUCUUAUUACCUACGAACUUUUAUCCACAGAUCUCUAUUAACUACCAACUAUUAUCAUAAUAAUUAUCUACAUAAUAUUAAAAAUAUUAUUAUAAUAUAAUUAAUUAUAAAAUCAUAAAUAAUAAUAAUAAUAAAUAAUAAUCAUAACUAAUAAGUAUAACAUAUUUUUAAUAUUAUAAAAUUAAUAAUAUUAAUAUAAUAAUAUAAUUAGUAUUAUAUUAAUAAUAUGAAUAAUAAUAAUAAUAAUAAUAAAAUUAGUAAUAUUAAUAGUAUUAAUGAUAUAAUAAAAUUAAUAAUAUUAGUAAUAAUAACAUUAAUAAUAUAAAUACUAUUAAUAAAAAUAUUAAUAAAAUUAAUAUUAUUUAUAAUAUUAAUAUUACUUAUAAUAUUAAUAUUAUUAAUAAUAUUAACACUAUUUUUAAUAUUUAAUAAUAUUAAUUAUAUUUAAUAAUAUUUAAGAAUAUUAAUGAUAUUCAAUAAUAUUAAUAAUAUUUAAUAAUGUUAAUAAUUUUUAAUAAUGUUAAUAAUUUUUAUAUUAUUAACUAUAUUAAUAUUAUUAAUCUUACUAAUAAAUAUAAUAAUAAUCAUAAUGUGACAACAAAAUUUGACUGGUGUAAUGUUUAAAACUUCUUUGGACAUUUCUCAAGAAACUUGGCUUUGAGCAUAGUGUAAUCAAUAAUUCCGAUUUACCCAUGUAUUUUUGCUAUUUUACCUACAAAAUUCUUCCGUAAAUAAUUUGGAUUAUAAGUAUAUUCUUACAUUAAUGUAUUUAAUUCACUUACAUUAAUGUAUUUAAUUCAUGGUAUCUUGCGAAUUUUUUAAAUAAAUUUUAAAUCUUUAAAUUGAGAAACUAAAAAUAGCUAGUAAUAUUCUUAUGUUCAAGAAACUUUUUCCAAAACCUAAAUUUAGAUAUAGCUUAUAAAGAAAUAACAUAUUUUAAAUUCUGAAUUGAAAUAGGAAAACAUCUUAUAAAAUUGUUUAAUUUAUUCUUUGAACGUCUAAUGAAAUAAAUAUCUACAUUCGUAUAUAAAUGGACGCUACAAUACUCAUAUUAGUAAAUUGAAGAAAAAUUAUACAUUUUAAUUCUUUAACUUGAAGUGACAAGAUGAUAUAAAAAAAAUAGUAAUUUGCAUGAAUAAAUAAAUCCAACAAUGCAUGUUAAUAGGUUGGUACUAGACCAAUUUAAUGGAUAUUUUUAACACUUGGUUUGGUUAACUAUUUUGCAACAUCACCAAAAAAAUGUAUCUUCCUUUCGCCUCUUAUAAUACAAAUAAACAAAACCGUGACUGAUGAAGUUAUCAUCUUGGUCCACCAUGGACAACAACUUGUGAAAAAACCUUGCACAUUGGUUGAAAAACAAGUUAACUCAUUGAAGAGUACCAAUUUGUCUGCCCAAAGAAGAGAGUUUUUCAAAAACAAAUGAGACAAAGUUCCUUUCUUUCUUAAGAUUCAAGAGCGUCAAAUUUAUUACAAGUUAUUUGAUACGAUAGGAGGUUUUUAUUCACAUGUUAUGUGGAUUAAUUAUCAGCAUUUUGUUGCCUUGUUCAGUGGUUUGGUCACAAUCAUGUGAAGAAUUUGAAACAGAUGAACAUUUUCCACAUAUCAGAUAUUUGCUUUUUGUACCCAUCAAAACAGAUAUUUUCAUUUAUUUUAUUCUUUGUUAAUAUCUAUAUACAUGUUAAAGUUUUUCUUCCUAUACUUAAAAACUACAUUUUAGAGUUUUUUUUAACAUUUCAUGUCUCCAAUUGUGUAACAGUUUCAUAUUAUCAGAAAACUAACAAGAAUUAAAAGAUAUAAAAGGAGAUAUUCUUAUGAUAAUUAAAACAUAAAAACUUUAAAUAUAAAAAACUAAAAGGUUGACACAAAUACAAGGACAUAUAAUCAAUUAAAUCUCAAAAUAUAUCUUACUGGAUUGUCUUUAAUUAUUAAUAAACUUCACUUUGAUUUUAUAAAAAUUUAAUUACACAUUAUUUUUAUUUUAUUUUUUAAAACUAAACCAUUAUCGUCUAUCAUUACUCUGGUGUCAAUUGCUAAUAAUUUUUUUUGACAUGUUAUCAAUAACAACAUUAUUAAUUACUUAUUUGUAUAAAAUAUUAACAAAAAUAUUUAAUAAUGUGAUUUAACACCUAUUACGUCUUAAUUUUUUCAUGAUAAUAAUAACUAAUAAUGAUAUUAUUAAAUAUGAGAUGGUUAAUUAGUGAUGGAAAAAAAAAUGUUUACAAUUUCUUUUAUCCCAGAACCACCAUUAGAGAGGUUUGAAUAAAGUGUAGUUAACAAUAGACUUUGUAUAUGUGCUGAUAGAAGAAGGAAUUAUCAAAAGACGGUAUAUGAUGUGGCUUGAUAAGGUUGCUUAUUAAUAAUGAGAGUGGAAAAUAGUGGAUUGGUUGAUUCCUAUCCUAACUAGUUCUGACCUUGUAUUCUUGCACUUCAUUUCACAACCACAUAAUUUCAUGGAGGUCAUGUCACAUCAAUUCUAAAUUACUAAUUUACUCAAACAAUAUUCCUAAAAAUAUGUCACUGGUUUUCAAUUUUAUUUGCAUUUGUGAGAGCAAAUAACUUAUCAGUUCCUGUAUUUUUGAUGAAAAAAACAUAAUAAAGUUGGUGGGAUUUAACAGGCUGACAAAUCUUAGAAUAUUAGCAAAAACAAAAUAAGAAUUAGAAAACCCUAGUAUAUUAUAAGAUUAUGUACAUCUUCAAGAGUAAAAGAAAAGGUAUUAAAUAUUUUUUAUUCUGGUUUUGGGUACUUUGAUGGUGAUGCAGUCCUCUUGUAAUAAGUUUUUGGAGAAAUUGUAGGUUUUAGUGGGAUAAAAAAGUUUAUUGACAACAAAAUGAGAUCCACAUGAAUUUGAGCCUUCUUAGAACCUCACAAUCUUGUAAUAAUAUCCACAUAGGGAUAUAGAUAGUACAUAAAGAAACAAAAGAAUUGAAAAGAUUAUCCAGGAGUGUAUUUUGUAACAAAGUUUAGAGCAAAGCGGGUAGGAAGCUAGCAUGGCCCUGGAGAAGUGUUUAACAGUAGGCACAGCCACACCCCAAUGCCUUUCUCCGUGCUUUCCAACUUCAAGGGAAAAGCUUGUUUUCCCAACCCACAGAGGUUUCAAGAAAUCCAUGCCGAACGCAAAACUCUCAUACCAAUCUCUCUAUUCAACCUACCGAAAAUCCCGUUUUGUUUGCAAUGCUCGUGAAGCAGUAAAUGAAGGUAAGUGAUUAUCCCAUAUGCAAGCUUCUAACCUUUCUGCACUGAGUAAACCAUCUUCUGACAUGCUUUUCCAUUUUAAUUCGUAUUAGGAAUUUCAGAAUGUGUUAUAUUGGAUAGUCUAGUUUCCCGAAGUACCUUAGGAGAGAUGUUUUAACCACUAGUACAAAGUGCAAAUUCUCCUACUUGUAAAAAAAUAUUAAAUGAAAAAGGAAAUAUAUUCAUUUUUUAAAUAUUUAAAGCGCAUUCAAUAUUUUAUAAGAAAGUAGUACAGGAAUUAGAAUUAUUCUUUUAAAUAUUUAUUGCAGAUUACAGUUUACUAGGAAUUAUGAAAUUUUGUAGGUCUCAUUAUCAUUUAAUGGAUCUCACUUACUAUUCUAUAAUUUCUAACUUUCAAUAAAUUUUAAUCGGAAACAAUGUUAAGACUUGUCUAUGUUUUAUGGUUGGGCUGCUUAGACUUGGCAUUAUUAAAACUAGUGUCAGGUUCCAGAACAAUAUAAACUUCAUAUACAUUCGGCAAUUUUAAUGUAUAGUGCAUGAUUUCUACCUGACAUUUGGGCCAUGUUUUUACUCGAAUGAAGUAGCAGAUUGAUUUUCCAAUUUCAUCUUGGAAUUUAUGUAUAAGUUUGCUUGUUUUCUUGUACCGAUUUCUAAACUAAUUUUCCAGGGCAUAAGAAAGCAUUAAAGUAGCAGCUCUAAUUUCUAAAUCAAACAAGCUUUAAUUAAGUGACUCCCUUUCUGUUUUGUUUUGUCUAAUGAAAUAAUACAUGUGCUCAAACUUGGCAGUAAAAGAGGUGACUGACGCAAACUGGAAUCAACUUGUGAUUGCCAAUGAAACCCCUGUUCUGGUAGAGUUUUGGGCACCAUGGUGUGGUCCAUGCAGGAUGAUAGCACCUGUUAUUGAAGAGUUAGCGAAGGAAUAUGGUGAAAAACUUGCAUGCUACAAGCUUAACACAGAUGACUCCCCAAACACAGCAACUCAGUACGGCAUCAGAAGCAUACCAACAGUUCUGUUCUUCAAGAAUGGAGAGAAAAAAGAAAGCAUAAUUGGUGCAGUUCCCAAGUCUACUCUGUCAGCGACAGUUGAAAAAUAUAUUGAUUUAUAAGCUGGGAGUGAUAAAAAAAAAGGGCAAGCAUUACAAUGCCAAAAAUGAAAGGAUUGGAAAGGGAGAAGUGAUAAUAUUGACAUUGCAAAUUUCAUUCUCUUUCAUUUUGUUUCCAUGCCCUAUAAGGCAAUAGAUAGUGUCUGUUUAAAAGUGUAAGAACCAUCUUCUCAUCAGUGGCAUGACACUUUGAAGUAAUACUUGUACCAUUUUUUCAAUUUGUAAAGGUUACAUUGGAUAAAGAGACCUCAUUCAAUGUUUGAAUGUUUGAUUACUUCCCCGUGCUUAGGAACACUUCAAAUUGAUCAUUGCUUGGGACAAUAAUUAACAAUUCCCCCAACAACCAGUUGCUUUUUUGAAUACCAAAACUUGCCACCUUCCUCAAGCGUGUCCUUAUGUCAAGGAUGAGUUUGUGAAAGCUAGUAAGAAAUAUUAAUAAAAAAACGUUACACUUGAAUUCACAAGAAAAAUCAGCCCCGUCAGCCACACAACCAGCCAACAAAUUUUCAUUUCUUAUAUAUAAAAUCAUAUAGUGGCACAGUGGCCUACGCCCUAUCACUACCCAACCCAAAUACUCUGCCAUCAUCGGGGGCCGAUGGCAAUACCAUUGCUCAUGUUGCAUGAGCAGCUUCUAAGAACCACACCAUCCAUACCAUCUACAAAGGCUCUCAAGGAGAAGGUUUCCAAUCAAAUUGAAGAUUACUAAAACCAUUUACUGCCCCUAGCCCGCUAAGUAGUUGGUUUGACAAAUCUUGUUGAUGAUUCAUAGCUUGAUCUCGAGCAAGAGAUGCCAUUCCUCCCCUUCCAUUCAUGAUUGAAUUAUUCACCACAGCAGCUCUCAUUCCAUUAGGCAUAGAGGAUUGACCAAGACCCAUUGUGCCAUAAUUACCAACCCCAACGCCUGAAUUACUGUUCAUUGACCCGUUACCCAUCAAGCCAUUGCCACCAUUGAGCCCUGUAUUGGCACUCACUGGCAGAAUACCAUUUACAGUUUUCACAUCAUUUCCAAGAGAACCAACACCAAUCAUUCCACCUGCACCGUUAAUCUGAGAGGACAUCAUCAUUUCAUGUAUGAUUUUCUGGACUGAGCUUUGAGUAUCACUAGGGUCAGGAUCACCUGAUAUAGAUGGCUGCUGCUGUUGCAUGGAAAUAUUAGCUGCUGGGUUAGUUGCGCUCAUGUGAUUGGCAGAUGUUAAAGUAGGGUGAGAUGUUUGUGGGGGGUUGUUAGAAGAGGGCGUCGGUGAUUGAAAAGGGGAUGAAUUUGGCUGGGCCUGUGGCACCGUAUUGGAAGAACCUGGGGAUGGAAUCUGAACAGAACUACCUCCAUAUGGACUACUUGCAUUGUUCAUUGAAUUUUGCUGUCUAGAAUUCAUUGAAUUCUGGUGGAGAAGUCCAACAAUAGUACUUGUGGUGGUUGAUGUGGAUGCCGAGUUGACAUUGUUAUUUACACUGACCAUACCAUUGCUAGAAGCAAUUUGCAUGGCAGCAGCUUGUACCGAGUUUUGAUCACCAUUUGAGUUAUGGGCCACCAUUUGUUGCUGUUGCUGCUGCUGUAAUUGUUCUUCAUGCUGUUGUGCUUGACCACGAGGUCCAGAUGAACCAUUUGUCCUCCGAGGGAACUUUGCCAAGCUAUCUGAGAGAUGGAAAAAUAAUAGAAAGAAUAGAAAUUUCAUCAUACCUAUUAUCAUGAUCAAACAGCUGGAAAUAAUUAUUAAGAAAAAAAAAAUAUUCACAAGACUUUUAGAAAACAAGAUACAAGUUAUCUCGAAGACCUAAACUUUCGUCUAAUUAAGUGAGGAAAAAAUUAGAGAAUAACAGAAAGAAUUAUAACUCAUUUCCCUGAUUAGGUGCAGGGAUCAAAGAUAGAUGUGACUGCUGAGUUGGUUGCAUAUAAUCCAUGUCGUGUUAAACAAAAACGGUUCCAUGCUUGGGGCAAAAAAGCACAAAGAAAAAGUCUUGCUCCUCAAGAAGUUCAGUCAACUUUCACCAGUAUCAUGACCUCAAACCUACCCUAUUUACUGUUUGAAAAUAUUAAGUGAGUGAUUUAUUACAUAUCUGUGUCCCCCCAAAAUAGACAUGAGGAUAUUUUAAUGUUAGGAAGUCAAAGACAUUAAUACCAAGAUACAGAAACAGGAUUCAAGUACAAAGUAAAACAGCUGACAAAGGAAAAAGUCUUUCCUCCCAAAUAAUAGUCUCGAAUCUCAAGUUGAAAUAGCCUAAUAGUAAACUCCAACAAAUAAACCUUUAGGGGAUGAACUCCAAUUGUCCACUCUUGAUUCCCUUCAACAUCUAUUUAUCAUUAUUAUCGUACCAACUACAUCUCCAAGCCAAAUUCCAAAGCAAAAUACCAAGAGGGAUUGCAAUUUCUCUAUAUGCAUAUUGCUUGAUAGUUAAGUAACCUAGGCUAUUUCUUCCUCUCCUGACCAUAAAGGUAAAUUCCAUGCGGGCUCAAGAAGACUUUAUUCCAUCUCACAUACCUCCAAACCAAACACUUAAGCAUACAUCAAUCUUCCAUAAAAGUGUCCUCCACUAUCCCUAAAAUCCAGAGACGGACCCUUAACAUUUAACAACUGUUGUUAGUAGGCUUUUCAAGUACAACUACACAUUUACAACUUGAAUCUCUAGGACCAACUCUUAACCAGAUCAUGAACAAUCAAUCCUCUAUCUUUGUAUCUUUAACAACCUUUUUUGUCAUAAGGAAACUUCGUCUGGAAUUGAUUCCAUCACCAUGCAUAGCUUAGAAAGGUUGGAUGCAAGCUCCUCAAAUAUCAACCAAGUAGGACUAUGUUGAGACAAAAACUGAUAUCCAGAAAACAACUCUAAGCUGUAAUGUAUAAAGGUCAAGUAGGAAACUAAACAUGUCACAAAGAACGCAAUUUCUACACAAUGCAAUUUUUAAAUUGGAAAAUAGAAAUGGUAAAACCAAAAUUACAAAAGUAUAAGGAACAGAUUUUUCCUUUUAAUAAAGUAUUAUUUACAGACACAUUCAUGUGCAGACUUAAAAAUGAGAAAUAAACAAGUAAAUUAUUGACUUACCCAUAGGUCCAGUCCGAGUUUCCCUGCUGUAAUCUAUCAAGUCUUUCAUACUAUUUACAACUUCUGAUAUCUGCAGUAUAAACAAGAAACAAUAAACUUAAGUUUGUUGUGCUCACUCUGUUUGAAUAGAGUUCAUUGGAGAUUAUUCUCCAAAUGAAACUCAAUUUUUCUGAAUUUAGCCCUUGAUAAUCACUCCUCCAGAAGUCUGUUUUUCUAUAAAAAUAUAAAUGCACCAUCAAACAUGAGCCAGUGAUUACUGGGCCCCAACUCCUCUCAGGAGAUCUUAUUAAAACAUGAACAGAAACCAGCAUAAAUGCUAUAUUUGCUGUCAAAUUGAGAGAAACAAAAAUAAGAAAGGCUUCCCAGUUAAAAUAACCAAGGCAAACGGGGUGUUCUGAUCACAAAUUCAACAGUCAGGGAUAGGUAACACAAAAAGACAUGGUAGUUCCGGAAAAAGAAACCAAGUGCAAUUUGAAGCAUUAAAAGGAAAUAAAUACAUAAUUUCCCACAAUAAAAUAUAUAUUAAGAUUAAACACUAAAAAUAUAUGGGGUAAGCAAUGUCUUAAGAAUAGAACACUACCUGUAGGCAGCGCACAUAUCUCUUUGUGUAUCCUAAAUCAUUAACCAAUGGUACUUCUAAGGCUUUAGCCAACUGACGGGCCGAUGCAACAAACCUGGAAAAGAAGCGUGUAAAAAUAUUAAAAGAAAAAACACAGACUUUCAUAAAAAGCAAAACCUAAUUAAGACAAAAAGAAGUCAAGUAAAAGGACUAGUGCAAUCUAAAUUAUAGACAGUAGACAAAACAGAAGAAAGUAGAGUAUAUAAGAAUUGGAAAUGAAUGUAUAAAGCAUGAAACACGUCCCAGAGUGUUGUAACAGUGAGACUCACACGAAAAGGCACCAAUAUUUGUCAGGAAAAAGAUUGUCAAUGAGAAUGAAACAAAAAAGAAAUAUACAAAUCUAUACAUUUGAAAUAGAUCCGCCUAACACGCAAAAAAAAUCCAUUUACGUUUUAAUUGAGACAAUAAAAAAUAUAUUAGUGCAAUAACUUGUUCACACUAAACAAAAAAAUUGUUGUAAAAAAUACAUUGAAAAUUAAGGAAAUUUUUGUAAUACUCAAACUUCAAGAGGGGAGCUAAAAUCCCAACAAAACAAAAGGGUUUUACACAGAAAACAUUAAAAGUAGAAUGGCACUUGAACAUUAAAAUACUACCUGACUAUGCUAAAAAGAUUACAAACAUUACUCAACACAGCAAAUGUUACUAAUUGCAAUCACCAGAUAAAAGCAAAAGUUACAAGAACAUAGUCUAGCCACAUGCCUAAAUCCAAAAAUAAAUACAAAACACAUCGCUCAUUCCACUGUUGAGGUUAAAGUAAAUGGUGAACUGAGAUCUGAGAACAGUGAAGGCAGCAGAAGUGCAGACAGCAAUGUUAUCAAGAUCAGGAGGAGGGUUACAAGAAUGUAAAAUGUAGGAUCCUAACAAGGAUCAUAAGAUCCUACCAAAAUUAUAUAAAUAUAUUUCAAUACACAAGUAUGAUAAUGAUAGUAUAAUUGGAUAAUACAUAUAACAAAAUCCCUGAAAUUCAGUUAAAAGUUUAAAUAUCUAUUUUACAAGUAUUGUAUAAUUUUAUAAAUAUUGUAAAGUAUUAACAAUAUCUCAGUCUAUUCUAAAUAAUAAUUAUGAAAAAAAACAGAGAACAAAUAUAUCAUAAAACCCAAAGAAUAUAAGAAAAUAUCUUCAAAUAAAGGCAAAAAUGAACCCAACUCAUGAGUUUUCAAGGGAAAAUAAAAAGGGAAAGAAGACAGCCAAAUUGUAGAAUGAAAAAUAAGUGUUUAGAGUACAGAUGCAAUGGUUUGCCAAGAACAGAAUACAAAAGGAAAAAUACAGCAAAUCGCUCUUAUCAACAAAAAUCCAAGCACUCAGUCACAGUCCCAGCAAGUCAGAGAGAGUGAGAGAGCCAAGUACAAGAGCCGGAUACUGAACGCAGAUCAUAGACACAGGGGUCGAGUGAAGACUGAGAGAGGCCAAGAGACAGAAUCGAUUGAGGGGAAGAAUACAAUUUGUCCAGGUCUGAAAAUGGGGGAGAAGCAGAAACUAUCAAUUUAGGACAACAAAAAAAACUAUUAAAACAAAUUUGGGUAAAACCAGGUCACGCAACCCAACCCAAAAAGCAAAGCUGGCAAUACCAGAAAAAGAACCAAUUACACCAACUCAUUCCGAUCCUACUAGGAUGUUGUUACAUCCUACCACUUCAUGAUCUUACUCAAAAUGCAGCUUGUUAACAGGAAGCAAGAUUGCAAAAUGAAGCAAAAUCACCAUUUUAAUUGCAAUCCUGAUAACACUGCCUCACAAACAAAGAAGAAGCUGACAGAGAAGGUCAUCAAUGAGUCUCCAACUGAGAUUGUAAAUGAUAGUUAUUUUCUUACGUUGAAUCUGAAACUAAAAAAAAAUGUUUUUUAUGACAAGAACACAGUUCUUAUGUAAGAACUGUUCUUACAUAAGGAGUCCAACUCAACGAACGUGCAAUCUAAAAAGAACCAGUUCUUAUUUGUACAAACAGCAGAAGCAACUCCAGUUAGAGUUGUGCUAAUGUACAUAAGCAUGCUCAAACAUUCAUAUGAAUCCCUUUUCAAAAGGGUAAAGGAAGUAUGUCAUGCCCCCAUCCCAUGGUCUUGCAAUAAGAAAGGUACAAGAUAAUUAAAACAAAAUUAUCCAGUUUUAAAUUAAAAUUAAUAAAAGACACAAAAAUUAACAUAAAGGAUAAAUGGUAAAAUUAACUUACAUAUUGCAAUUAUUUUGUAAUUCUGGAACAGAUAUAUUUGGUGUUGCAUUUUGAGUAAAAGCCUGGUAUUUUUGAGCAACUGCUCCAAGCUGGCUAACCUGUACAUACAAUAAUAAUAAGAUAAGAAAAUACCAUAAUGUAUAAUAUAAUAUCUAAAUGCAUAGCAAAGCACUAUUCUGUCAAAAUCUCUACAGUACGAAACCAGCAUUACAAAAGGCAUUCCUAACAAAAUAAUAAUCAUAACAUUAGCAACAAGACUAGGAAUCCAUAGAUCCUAGCAAAGAUCUCAUCCAAUUUCAAUCUCAAAACUUAUUCCACACCUACAGUAAUAGAGAAAAAAUUAUCAAGACUAACAAAAACCAACAAAGAGUAAAUGGGCUCAUUAAUCAAUAUCAAUAUGCAAAGUAUGUUUGUCUAUUUAAAUAAACAGAUAAUAUAAUAGUUGUAAUUAAAGUCCAAUCAGAAUGCAAUUAAUGGCAACCUGUGGUAUUAACAAUCUCCUCGGUAUGAGCUCCUCAUGGCGCCGAGCACAAAAUUCCCAAGAACAUAUCUGCAAAUGAAAAUGCCAAUUAAUCUUUCUUUCAUAUAAAGAAAAUCAAUAAUGACAAUAAAAUAUAAUAUAAGCUGUCAAAUUAUUUUAAUAUUAAUAUUUUCAUAUAUAACCUUCAGGUCUGGAGAGAAAACUAUUCGAAGUUGACCAUCACGAACAACUCGAAGUUGCUCAAAAACGCUUUCUUGUAUUGCUUUUGCGUAAUCUAGAACUAUCUGACCAGAGGUAUUAUGAUAUUCACGAGGCAUGUCAACAUAAAGUAGUUCUUCCAAAGUACCACUUUCAUACUUUAUCUUGAAAAGCCGGGGAAGAACCUCAACAGUUGCUUCUGGGAAAAGAGAAUGACAGCUAAGAAAGGCAAUAAGCACUACACACCCAUUCACAUAUAUUUCAAGAUGGCAACAUUUUCAAACAGAAAAGAACCAAAAAGUAGAUUGAACAGGGACAUAUACGAAGAAAUAACCCCAAAAACCAAAACUUACCAAAACCACGUCCAGGCUUGCGAUUACAUAUUUCGCAGUGCCAUACAUCCUGAAAAUAUUUAAAGAAUUCAUCUGUAAUGUUAAACUGACGAGUAGCAACAAUGAAACUGCUAUAUUUGGUUCCUUGAAUACCAGAAUUUAUCCAUUGCAACAUUCAAAGCAAUUUGUUACUGAAGUUUUAAAGCGACAUUAUAUGGAAAUAGUGACAACAAAAUCAUGAUGCCAAUCAGUAAUCAGUAAGUAUAGUACAACUGUACAAUCAAUAAUGCAAUGAGAUGAUUAAUUCAUAAACUUAGAUAGGGUUAUACAUGACUCAAAAUUAAUAAGACAAACAAUUUUGUUUAUAAGGUUUUCUCUUUGAAGAUACCUGAAGGGAAACUCCAGUUGUUUGUCUUCCACUUCCAUACAUAGAAACACACCAUUUCUUCUUGGCAUUAGGAGCAAAAUACUCAGCAACAAACUUUCUCCAGAACUCAAUAUUGUUAUCCUGCAUGAAAUCAAAUUGAAAAUAUCACUUAAAUGAGACUUCUUGUAUGCAGAAAUAGAGUAAGGUCAAUACAUAGGAUCAUAGUUGGUUCUUACUUCAGGUCUAUGUUGUUGCUGAUACAUGUAAUGUGUCAGCCGCCUAGCACACAUUCCGGGUUCAUAUGCUGGUUUCACAGUUCUCAUUAGCAUGCUCUGCUGUUGAAAUUGCUGCGGUAGCUGGGACCGUUGUUGAGGCAUUGCCUUCAAGAGUUGUUGCUGCUGAUGUUGUUGUUGUAACUGUAAAAGCCUGUGCUGGCGCAAAAGAUUGAUCUGGGCAACAGUAGCCUGAGAUGAUUGACUAGACAUGUGGAGGAAUUGCUGUUGCUGUUGUUGUUGUUGUUGCUGCUGUUGCUGCUGCAAAAAUAAUGGUUGAUCAGAAUGCUGAGGCUCCAUUUUAACAGGUCCCAGUGUUCUCAUUGUCUGCAUUUGUUGUGGCUCCAAUUUAACUGAAGAAAGGUUCCUUAAUGACUGCAAUGGCUGCUGCUGCUGUCCAAGUUGAUCGUUGCUUACCUGGGGCUCUAGCUUUACUGGUCCCAUACCACCUAUUCCUCCUCGAAUUGAUUGAAAAUGCUGCUGUGGAGGCAGCUGCUGCGUAUUUAGAGGGCCAGAGAACUGUUGCAUUGACUGCUGACUGUGUUGGAAAUUUUGAGGUUCAAGCUGUUGGGAAUGUUGUUGAUGUUGUUGAUCAGGCAACAUCUGGUUACUAGAAGGGUUUGAAAAUUGUUGACCCUGACCUUGACCAGAGGAAGCAGCAUUUACUAUAUUUGACUGUACAAACGUGGAAGAAGAAUUAUUGAAGCUCAUUCCAUUGCCAACAGUGGAGAGUGGAUCUGUUUCAGCUCCAGUAUCAAUUGCUCCCCGUUGGCUACUUCCUGGACCAGAUAGCCCAGGAUUCUGAGCUCCAUUUGGGAAAGAUUGAUUCAGUAUGGAAGUUACAUUGGACAUAUUUCCUAGAAUGUUCAUGUUGUUGAACUGAGUACGAGGAGACACAAGUGAAGGGAAGGAUGUCUGCGGCAUGGGACCCCCUUGAGCUCCUAGCAUUCCAGAAUUUGAUCUUAAAAGAGAUGGUGAAACAGACUGGGCACCACCAAUGGGAGUGGGUGGCCCCGGAGGCACCAUCUUUCGAUGUCACGGCCUUCAAGCAAUCACCUAAGCAUAACAACUAAGUUACUUAAAACACAAGUUCAACAAAGUACAAUUACACAACAGCUUGUGAGAAACUGGGCACGUUCACAACGCUCAACCCAGAAAGUACUACUUCAACCCCGAGUUCAAGGCAAAAGUCUUCACUGUGAUCCAACAGAAGUACGUGGUGUUGAGUUUUACCAAACACAAGCCAUACACCAAAGAAAACCAAAACCAAGAAACAUUCUUUGAUUCUGAACAUUACAAUUGCGCUACCUCCCUUAAAGGAGCAACCUCCAAACAGCUCUCGCAUGAAUCUCUGUACAACACAUGACUUCUCAGAUCCAACCCAUCCAUCAGUGCAUACAAUUAUACCCAAGAAAAACCAUUAACAAAAAAGAAAGCCCGAAAAUUUCAACAAACAAUACUAUCAAACUAAACACUAAAAGAAACUCUAAAAAUUAAAAGAAAAAAAUUAAUCAAAUUAAGACACAUCUCACACCAAAAUCAAUAAAACCCGAAGAAUUACCAUUUUUUAAAAGCCCAAGCUUAAUUGAAAAAGGGGAGAAAAGUGUAAAGCAUAAACUUCAUCAAAGUAGUGACAAAAAUAGCAGCCGAUCGAAGCUUAGCUUAAGCGAAUCAGCGAUCCAGAGCUACAAAUGACACAAAUGAGGCGCAGUAUUGAGAAAAAACAGGGACAGACACUUAGACGAAAGGGUGAGAACGUCGGAAGUGUAAAGUUAGCAGUUGCCAUGACUCACCGAGAGUUGAAAUUUGCGAAAUUGAAUAGUGGCAGAAUCCGGUGAGUGAUCAACAGAGUGAGAAUGAACGAAAAGCGUAGAACUUUGCAGUUGGGGUUUCCGAGUUCGCAUCCAGAAUAAGUGUCUAGGGUUUUCUCAGUGCAGAAGCAGCAGCAUCUUCUUUAAUCUCAGUGAAACGCACUGUUGGUGUUGUUGCUGCUGGUGCUUCAUGGCGUGUGUUCUAGAGAGAGAAAGUGUAGAGAGAGAAAGAGAGAAAGGGUCAUUGCGGACGUCAAGAUUGUAUUCGAUCAGAUUGAAUUUUCUUCAUUCUUUGGUCCUUCCUUUUCGCUUCUAUUCCCUUUCUUUCUCUCUCUUCCUCCUCUCUCACAAUGAAGUCAAAUGCCAUUCCACUCUCGUUAUGCACAUGCACCAUGUUGUUCAUCAUCAUCAUUCAUAAUGAUGUUAUCUCAUCAUCAAUAUCUUUGUGCAUCAGUAUCAUCAUCAUUAUCUCUACCACAUACUAAUAGCUAGUGCAAUACUAAAUUACGUAUAUAUCCUUUGUUUAUUCUUCUUUUUACGGAGGUAAUCCCUCUCCGUUUUAAUGUGUGGCAUGCUUUGUGACCAUUAGGUGGAUGAUUGCUUUCACCUAACCUAAAAUCUGUGAUUAGCUUAAUCAACUCUAUUUUUAUAAGAUAAGCAUUUUGUUACAUUAAUAUUUUUAUUUAGGUCAGAACAAAUAUUUCUGUAUAACUAUAAUUUAUAAUGAAUAAAUCUUUAUAUUACAAUAAAAAAAGUUAUAUUAAAUAUUUUUUAAGUAUAAGUUAUAUUUCAGUAUAGGAUAAAUAAUUUAUAUUAUAAUAUAAGAUUAUAUUUAGGAUAUUAUUAAGAGAAGGAAUUUUUUAGUUUUUCAAAAAUAUAAAAUUGGAAAAGAACAUUUCUUAUAUUUGAUUUACCUUUUAAAAAAUAUAACUUUCAGAAAAUAUUUUUUUAUGAGAAUGAUUAAAUGUUCUCAUAAAAGCAUUCCUAUAUAGAUUAGAAUAGAAAUUAAGUUAAAAAUUAUCAUAUUGCUUUAAUUAAAUUAUUCAAUGCAGUAACAUAUUAAAAAAAAUUAAAAAUAGUACUCCUUAGUUUGUAAAAAGUUAUAUAAAUAUUUUUUAAAAAUAUUUUUUAUCAAUCAAAUAUCCUUGGAAUAAUAAUUUCUAGGAUUGUAUUGAUUGUGAUCAUGAUUUUCGAAAAUAAACACCUCUUAAUUAUUGAUCACAUUAUAAAGAAUAUUUGAAGUUCAAUUUAAAAUAAAUAUAUAUAUAUAUAUAUUAAAAUAUUUAAACUGUUCAGAAAAUAAGUUUUUUUUAAGAAUUUCUUGAUCAAAUUAAACUUGACAUUAAAAUUAAAUUUGAUUAAUAUAUAAAUCAAUAAAUAUCUAAUACAUAAAAUUAAGAAAAGGCAUGUUACCAAAUAAAAGCAAUAAUAAUAAUAACUCCUAAAACUGAUCUCCUUUAUAAAAAAAAACCUUGUAAACCGUUUUGUUAAAGAAUAAUUCUUAAAAUAAAAACUUCCAUUUUAUAUGAUAAUCAAAACUUAUAAUAUAAAACGUAAUUAUAACUAAUAAAUAUUUUUGUAUUAAAUAAAAUGUAUUACAAUUAAAAUUCUAAAUAAAUAUAUUAAAUAUUCUAUAUUAGUUUUAUAAUAAAUAAUUAAAAUUUUAGCAUAGUUAUUUUAAAAUUUAAGCAAUCAAAAUAUUCAGAAAAAUCAAUAUAAAUUAAAACAACUGUUUGUGAGUGUAUUAGUUAUCAUUCUGUAUAAUGACAGUAUUUUUAAUUGUUUUUUUACACGUUUUAUCUAUUUCGAUCUACCAUUUACAACAUCUUUUAUUUCUAACUUGAAUUUUGAUGCUCUUACAAUAAAUAAUUAAUGAUAAAAGUAAUAUCGUAUUGUGAUAUGAAUUAUUUAUUAUCAAAUUUAACAAUAUUAUAAUUAAUAUAUUUUAAAAUAUCUAUUUAUUAUAAACUUGGUUAGAUAGAAUAACUUAAUAUUCAUUUCGUACAAGAAGCAACUAAGAUACUAGUAUACAUAACACUAAAAGUAUAAUAGUAUGACUUAGAGAGAUAUCUUCAUUAUUUUUGUAAAAGAAAUAGGUAAAAUUAUAUCCAAAUGAGAGAAUUAAUGUUGUUUAAAGAAAUUCUAAUUGCGAGAAUAAAGAUAAUGAAUAUAUACAUAGGGGUUUCUGUUCUUGGGUAAAUUUAUUUGGUCUUCAUAUAUUCCGCCUUCCAAAACUUUUGUUCUUUGGCUUCCUACAUAUUAACAUAUUCAAAAUAAAGAUCUACAUAUUUGUUUUAUUUGUACGCUUUGUGAAAAACACGAUGAAUCUAUUCAACAUUUAUUUUUUGAAUGUGCUAACGUUUUGCGUAUUUGGAGUUGGGUUCAACACAUUUUUCCUACUUAUGAUUUCUCUAAUAAGGAUUAUCUUCUUUCUUUUAUUAAGAGUGAUGGUAUUCCGUUGGUUAAAUUGGUUAAACUAGCUGUGAUAACUUUUUCUAUUUGGAUGAUAUGGCGUAUGAGGAAUUAUGCUCAUUUUCAUGAUAAGAUUGAGGUUUCUAGGGCUAUUUUGGUUAUUAAAGAUUUAACUUGUCUAGUGGGUAGUUCGUCUAAAGCUUCAAUGAAGAAUGAUAUGUUCGAUUUCAAUGUGCUCAAGUUUUUUGGUAUUAACACUCGUACUGGUAAAGUUCUACGUCCUCUUCUUGUUAGAUGGGAGUUUCCUUCACCACAAUGGGUUAAAAUUAACAUUGAUGGGGCUGCUAGGGGUUAUCCAGGUCUUGCCGCUUGUGGAAGUAUUUUUCGUGCGAGUAUGGGGAAGUUUAUUGAAGCUUGUUGGGUAUGAAGCCAAGACUAAUUGGGUUGGGCUGACUAGACACAUGUUUAGUGAGUGGGCUUAAUUAUUAUGUCCCUUUAUUAUCUCUAUUUAUCUCUAUUUAAAGAGAUCAUUGUACUUGUAAUUAGUGUGCAACAGGAUAUAAUGUAAACCUAAUAGUUGCCCGGGUGGAUGUAGGUUGCAGUUGGCGACCGAACCACGUUAAAUCUUGUGUCGUUUAUUUUUCUGUAGUUGAUUCGUGAUUAUGUGUGUUGUUUUCGUGUGCGUUUUUCCCAUCAAGUGGUAUCAAGAGCCUUGGUUCGUUUACACACUAGAGAUCCAAUCAGCAGAAAUUAAUCGACGAGAUGUGAAAAUUGCGGUUGUAGUAGCGUCCCAGAGUUAGGGUUUCGCAGAGGCGGGAACAAUGUCCCAAAGUUAGGGUUUCGCAGAGGCGGCAACAACAUCUCAAAGCUAGGGUUUUGCAGGGGUUGCAGCAGCGUCCUAAGGCUUAGGGUUUCCCAUAUCUGCUUCACAACAGCGGUGACCAGCGACGGUGGUGGUGCAGAGCGCCAGGGCAGUGGGGACUACGACCAGGUCUGUUGGUGAGUGAUUUUGGGUGGUGCAAUUUUUGUGUUCUUGAUUUAAAAAAAAAAGAUUGCCAAGAUCUGAAAUUAGUUGUACCGAGUAUCUCGUCUAGUCAUUUGAGAUGGCAGAAGAAGGGAAGUUUCAAAUUGAAAAUUCGAUGGUACAAAUUUCAGUUGGUGGAAAGUGCAAAUUGAGGAUUUGCGAGUUCAGUUACUGAGCACAUCAAUAUUCGAUCUUAUCCAGACUUACGUCAGUGGGCAUUAAGUUCGAUGAUGAAGUUCAAGCUUUACUAUUGCUAUUGUCUUUGCCUGACAGUUGGUCCGGAACGGUUACAGUAGUUACCAGUUCAGCGGGAUCUGAUUGAUUCACUUUUGAGAAGAUUCGUGAUCUCAUUCUUGGCGAGGAUGUCCAAAGAAGGAGUUCUGGGGAAUUAUCUAGUGAAUCGCUUUAUGUCAUCAGAGGAGAGAAAUAUCAGAGAUAGUGGGAGCAAGAACAAAAGAAGGAGUCAGUCAAAGACUUGGGAUUGCUCAAGUGUAACAUGUUGGAACUGCAAGGAGGUGGGGCAUUUCAGGAAUCAAUGNNNNNNNNNNNNNNNNNNNNNNNNNNNNNNNNNNNNNNNNNNNNNNNNNNNNNNNNNNNNNNNNNNNNNNNNNNNNNNNNNNNNNNNNNNNNNNNNNNNNACGAGGACCUCUUAGUCUGUUGCGCGGAGAGCAGUGUGGAUUCCUGGGUCAUGGAUUCUGAAGCAUUGCAGAAUCUAGUUAUUGGAGACUUUGGAAAGGUAAGACUAGCGGACAAUAGAACUCUUGAUGUUAUGCGGGCAUGGGUGACAUAGUGUUGAAGACACCAAUUGGUUUUUGGACUUUGAAGGAUGUCAGAGUUGUUCCAAGCUUGAGGAAAAGUUUGAUUUCUGUUAGGCAGUUGGACGAACAGGGACAUGAAGUGAAGUUCGGAAAUCAGCAGUGGAAGGUCGUCAAGGGAAAUCUUGUCAUGGCCUGCGAAAGAAAGAGAGGUUCGUUGUAUAUAGUCAGAUUACCGUGUCUGAGGGAGUGACCAUCCCAGUUCAGAAGAUAAACAAAGUCCGGUUCACAGAAUCUCGUGGGUAGAAUAGGGUUGUCUUUACAAGAGAGAAACCCAAAGCCACAGGUCAGAUUCAAGAUGAACGAGCAUGGAAAGGUUCAGGUAGACCAGUCAAAGGUACUUGUGACAGUGGGAGCACGGGUCAUGCUUCAGCUAAGGUUCCUAGAUGACAGUGGGUUAGGAGAACCAGUAUUCCAACGGUUGAAACUUCUCCAGAAAAAUUCUUGUUGAAUAUGGAGAGUGUUUGUUUUCAGGUUGUUCCAGGAUCCGGCAGUUCCUGUAAGUGGGAGUCGGUAGGAACAAAGAACGGGUCAGUGACUGACAUGUUGAAACUCAGGUUGUUCCAGGAUCUGACAGUUCCUGUAAGUGGGAGUCGGUAGGAACAGAGAACAAGUCAGUGACUGACGUGUUGAAACUCAGGGGAGUUUUAACGAAGUUUUCAAAAUGAUUAAGAAGGCUGGUGGCAACUAGAGGUGGAACAGUGAGUUCCAUCGACAAAUUACAGAAGUACAUGUACACAGUUGAAGCGCAAGUGAACAUUGUUCCGUGACUUCAAGUGGAAGAUUGUUGGUAUGAAGUCAAGACCAAUUGGGUUGGGUUGACAAGACACCAUGUACACAGUUGAAGCGUAGGUGAACAUUGUUCCGUGGCUUCAAGUGAGAGAUUGUUGGGUAUGAAGCCAGGACCAAUUAGGUUGGGCUGACUAGACACAUGUUUAGUGAGUGGGCUUAAUUAUUAUGUCCCUUUAUUAUCUCUAUUUAAAGAGAUCAUUGUACUUGUAAUUGGUGUGCAACGGGAUAUAAUGUAAACCUAAUAGUUGCCCGAGUGGAUGUAGGUUGCAGUUGGCGACCGAACCACGUUAAAUCUUGUGUCGUUUAUUUUUCUGCAGUUGAUUCAUGAUUAUGUGUGUUGUUUCCGUGUGCGUUUCCCAUCAAAGCUUUCUCUGCGUUUCUUGACGUUCAGACUGCUUUGGUUGCUGAAUUUUAUGGAGUUAUAUAUGCUUUGGAGGAAGCUCAAAAGUUGGGUCUUACUAAUGUCUGGCUGAAAUGUGACUUUGUCUUGGUUUGUGUUGCGUUUACCGCUAGGACAAAUGUUCCUUGGAUGCUUCGUAAUCGAUGGAAUACUUGUCUUAAUUACUGUGGACAGGUUUAGGGUUACUCAUAUUUUUCGUGAAGGGAAUGUGUGUGUUGAUAAGUUAGUUAAUUCAUGAUUUAUUCAUAGAGAAUCCUUUCAAUGAUAUAAUAGGCUUCCAUCUAGUUUGUUAUUAAAAUUAUUUAUUAAUAGGUAUAGUUUACCUAUAUAUCGUUUUUGUUAACAUAUGAGUUUUGAUCUAGUCUUUCCAUAUUUUUAUAUUUUCUUUCUUUUUCUUUUUUUAAUAAUAUUUUUUUUCAUGACAAAUGAUUGUUGUUAUUUGAUGUGUCAAUCCAGCUGAGAUGUCAAGUAGUAUAGUGAUGCAUAACAUGAAAGUUUGUAUGAAAAAAAUAUAAUAAUGAAACUUCUACUAUUUCAUCUUAUUUAUUAUAAUUUAUAAUAUAAAAAUGUAAUCAUAUCAUUUUUUUUCUUUUAUUUACAUUUAAGAUUUUGUUUACAUUAUGUUUAUUAGUACUAGGAAAUAAUUGCUUCAACUUUAAAAAUAAUGGAAGAUACAAUACAAAUAUUUUAAAAAAUAAUGGAAGAUACAUCUUUGUUGAGGGUUUUUCCUUUUAUACUCUUUAUAUUUAUUUCCAUCUUCAUUUUUGCAGUAUCAUGUUUUACUAAGUGGGUAGUAAUGUAAUAAUUAAAACUAUUGUUUUUUUAUGUUACUCACUUGCACACUUUCAAGUCUUUUUUUAUUGAAAUUAUAAUGUUUAAAUGUAUAUGCAUAUGUAAUUAAUUUAAUUUUUUUAUAGUUAUCCUCUUAACCACAUACUAUAAAUGAAAAUGGAUAACUUGUAUAUAUAUAAAAGUUCAUCAAGUAUGAAUUUAUUAAUUAUAAUCACAAUAUUACAUAAAAAUAUCAAUAAUGGUAUAAAAUGGUAUAAAAGAACUUUAAACAAAUCAAUUGAAUAUAGUGAUAAAUUGAUAUCCUAUAAUCUGGAGUGACCAAAUAAUGAUUGAUUUUUUCUAUUAUAAUUUUGUGACUGAUGAGAAAAAUAAUCGUCAAGUCACGUACAACUAGAAUUUUCACUAUUAUUUAUAUUUAAUCAUUAUUUCAAUUACACAUAAAUUUAACAACUAUUUUUUUAACUUUGAUGAACUAUUUUGAUAGCUAAAAGUCAAUUUUGUGUGUGAACUAAUUGAUAAAGUUCAUAAUAUAAUUAACAUUAAAUCAUAAAUAAUUGUAAAUCAAAUUCAUCUAAUAUCAUAUAUCAUAUUACAAUAUAUAAAAAAUAACAAAUAUUUUUAAAAUAUUCAUAUUAAAUUCAAACUCAAAUACUAUCCUAAUACUUAAGGUCAUAUGUACCAUAUUACAGGUACAAACCACCAUAAUCAACUCACUUUUAAAAGACUAGUAUUAAUAUGCUCUAGCUAGUAUAAAUUUUACCUCACAAUCUUCUAUAAUUGGAUAAUAUAAUAUUCAAUAGCCAUUAAUUACUCACAUCACUCUCUGUCUUUAUUCAAAUCAUAUUAUAAAAAAACUACUUAAUAUUCAAUCAUAUUAAUAUUUCUGAUUUUAAAUAAUUUUUAAUAGAUAAUUAUCAUUACAUAAGAUGGAAUAAUCUACUUAAAAUAAUGAAAGGAUAGUCUAAAUAUGAUUUUGAAAAUAAAAAAAGUAUAUGAUAAAAUUAUAACAUUACUGAACUUGUUAUAUGAAAAAUAAUAUUAAAAUAAUAACAAUUAAAAAUAUAUCUAUAUUUUUAUCACAUCAAAAUAGUAUUAAAAUAAUAAAUAUUAAAAAUAUAUAUGAUUUUUUAAAAUAGUAUUAAAAUAAUAUACGUGAUAAUUAUUUUUUAAAUAAAAAAUGUUAUAUAGUUAUUUUUUAAUGAAAAAAAGUUAUUUAAUUAUUUACUUUAUUGAAUAAAUAAAUUAUUAUUUUUAUUAAAAGAAAAAUUUAUCUAAUUAAAAAUGUGAUCUUUAUAUAAUAGUAUAGACAAUAUAAUAUUAAAUUGAUAUAUGGGGUAGUUAUUUUAUAAAUGAAGAGGUUAUAUAAUUAUAUUUUCAUAAAUAGAUAUUUUUUAAUUAUUAAAGGAUAAAAAGUUUUAAUUAAAAAGUAAUAAUAAAAAAAUAUAUAUUAAUUUUUAAAUAUAUAAAAGCAUGAAGUAACAAGAUGACUCAUUAGGUUUACGUGGGUCCACGUUGCUCUUUAUUUAUUUUACAAUUGACACGUCCAAGUCUUGAAGGUCCCUCCACUUAAUUCUAUCUCAAAUCACACACAUUUUAUCUUUACUCAAAUUAAAAAAUUUAUAUAUUGCAUACAAUACAUAAAUUUUUAAAUAUAACUAAAAGAAUUAUUAAAUAAUAAUAAAUUUAGAAACUAAAAAUAAUAUAUUAACUACAUUAAAUAUUAUUUUAAAAACUAAAAAUUUAUUAUAUCUAAAAUAACUUUUAUUAUUAAUAAAAAAUUAUAAAAUAUUUUAUAAAUUUAUAUUUAAAUUAUUUAUAUAAUAUCUUAAUUAUUAAUAUUUUAAAUUUUGAGUUAAUCUUUAAAAUAUUAAUAUGGAUUAAAUUAUAAUAGUUAAUUGUUAGAUAUCAAUUUAAAAUUGUUUUAUAACUUUGUAUUAAUAAUACAAUUAUUUAAAUAUUAAUAAUUUAUAAAAUAAUAUAUAAUUUAAUUAAAUAAUAAUUAAUUUUUUUAUAAUUUUAGAAAACACUCUUAAAUGAAUGUUUUAAAUUUGUUAUGAAAAGCUGGUACAUGUUGAAUUCAAUGCCAAGUACAACCUUUUUUUUAAUCAACAAUUGCAAGUACAACCUGAUUUGCCUUUUCACAUCUUUUAUGAAUAAUUAGUUACUAAGGCUUUACAACACUCUCGCAUUCUAACUAAUGUUCUCUUUUUAAGAAUAUAUAUAUCCUUUUAUAAGAGAACUAAAUAAUUUAUUAAAAUGAAAAUAUGAUGAAUAUAAUAUAUGCAGAAACUAUAAAACCUGGACGAGAUUGGAUAGAAUAGGAUAGGACGCAAACCAAACACAAGAACAUGGAAUCCGGUAUAUAUGUAUAUAUCUUUCAUUCAUCACAUCACUUGAUAUUGGAAGAAAUGUUACUUUCUUUCUUACCAGUUUUUUUGAAAUUUAUGCAAGCUAUUCUUGUGGCUAUUAAUUUUUUCAUUCUUUUUCCUGAAUCACCAACUCUUCAUUUGGGACUUUUAUUCUUCUUACUUCCUUUCCAUUAAUAUAUAAAUAUAUUAUAAUAAAAAAAAGUAUGGGGUACAUUUUUUUAUCCCAAAAAUAAUAUUAUUUUGUAAAUAUAUAUUAAAGUGAAUUAAUUACUGAAAAUAAAAAAUUUAAAAAUAGAUAAUUAAUAUCUGAAAAAUGAAAAUGUGACAUUCGAAAAAUAAAUUCUAUUAAAAUAAAAAUCAAUCAUAUAUUUUUUUAUAACCACUUAAUAUAUUUAAGAAAAGAAGAAUCAAAUCCUGAAAUAUAUUUUUCAUUUUUAUAAGUAACAAAAAUAUGAUAAAAAGACAUUCUAUUACAAAAAUUAGACCAUUAUUUUUUAUAAUUACUCAAUACAUUAAACAAAAAUAAACUUAUGAUUAUUUUUAAAAUAACUAUUAUAUUUUAACAUACAUUUACAAAUCAAUUGAAAAAAUUACUAUAAUAAGUCAAAGAAAUAUAAUGUUAAAAAAUAUAUUCAAAUAAGUGUUGCUUUUUUUAACAUCCUUAAUUUUUUUAAUCCAUAUAUAAUAAAAUAAAAGUAAAACAAACGCUAUCUACUUAACGUACGAAUAUAUAUAUAACUAUCUCAUAAUUGUAUCUAAAAUCAUAAAGAUUUUAUUAUAUAAAUAAAAAAAUUUAAAAAUAAACAGACGGCUCACUUAAGAGUUCUAUUACCUGCAAUCUCAUAUGCUUCCGUGUACAACACGAUCAUCACAUAUAAAGAAACAAACACAAACAAAUAACAGGAUAAGUUAGCUAUAACAAAAUUUUCUAUAUAAUUUAAAUUUCAAAUUGUUACACAAAAUUCAUAAAUUCUCAUACAAUUUAUCAAACAUUUCACAUAACCAUCAAUUGUCUAUCAACAAUUUCAAAAUUCAUCUUUCUCAUGUCAGUCAUCUACUGACUCACAACACAUAGACACUUAACUCUACUUCUGAAAGACUCGUGCGUUGACUUAGAUUCAGAGAUCUGCACCUGUCAUACUAUCUCACUGUGAAAUCCACACAGCUAUGCGCAUAAAUAAUCUCAAUAUCAUUUCUCUCCUAGUAUGACAGGCUUAAUUCAUAUAACAAGUCAAGUUAGUUAUCUUUCAAACAACUUACCCAUUCAUAUGAACCUCCUUCGACUCUCACCACCUGAAUAAACUCCAUCUAUAUGAUUCCAUUAUCUCAGAAGAGUCAUGAUAUCUCCUUCUAAACGAAUCACUAGUCAAUGCACAUCCUAAACAAUCUUAACACGGUAUUUUCUUUCCUGAAAAUACUAUGUCUUUAUUAAAAUUAAAAUUCAUAUUCUGACUCUCACAAUAUCUAAAUCACACAAUCAAAUCAUACAAAAGUUUAGAAUUUCCAAAUCACACAACAAUUCAUUCACUAAUCAUAUAAACAUUUUAAAAUUUUCUAAACAAUUCAAUUAUAUCUAAAAAUCCACUUAAACACAUAACUAAGUUCCAAAUAUAUGCUUUCUAAAUCAAUCAUCAUCUAAAAUCAAACAACCACUUCUCAUCAAACAUCUCAUUUAAGUAAUUCAACAAAAUAUUAAAAAACAGUUCAACUCAUUUAUAUUAUCAUUCAAACAUUUUAAAUUUUCAAACACAAACACUUUCAACAACUUAUUCACCUUAAAAUCAAUAUAAAAUAUUCAGAAUUAACCAUUUCAAUCAAUAUAUUACUUUACUCUUCAAAAGAGACAAUCCUGCAAGCAAAAAUUUGAACCGGUGACCACGUCACCCCCACAUUCAGAUCUUCUAACUUAGGGUUCUAUAAAAUAAAUAAAACUAGCUUCCCUUACCUGGACUUGAGCAGAUGCUCACUAAGAGCUCCAACCCACCAAAAGCUUAAGGAUAACCUAACCUGCACCAUAAAGUCUUGAUAAAAAAUCUAACUAUAUCACUAAGACCUUGAUCUAGCAGAGACUAAUCUUGAAGAUAAAAACCUCACAUGCAAACUUAAACUAAAAUGCAACCCUAACAAGAUAAAAACUAACUCAAAAGAAAAUGAGCCAAGAAUGAACUUACUCUAUCUAAGAUUCUGCGGGAAAUCUCGUAGAGUUCACUUCCAGGAGUUCAAUGGCAGACUCCGAUCAUUAAACUGAUGAGCGAGGAUGUCAGAAUCUUAGAGAGAUGGUGGUUCUUGUUGGAGAUCCCACAUCGACUAGAGAUUAGAGCCUUUCAUUGUAUAUAAGUGGGUGCAAACCUCAAUCUCAUGAGCCGGUUUUAUGGGGUUGAGUUAGGCUUAAAGUCCACUCUUUCGUAAUAUGAUAUCAGAGCCAUUUCGAGCCUAUCCUAGCGAGUGUUUGUGUUGGGCCUAUCGUGCCACCCGCUAUCGGGCCGCUAUCGGACCACCCAUAAUAUAUAGUCCCACGCGUGAGGGGGUGUGUUGGAGAUCCCACAUCGACUAGAGAUUAGAGCCUUUCAUUGAAUAUAAGUGGGUGCAAACCUCAACCCUAUGAGCUUCGUGCCACCCGCUAUCGGGCCGCUAUCGGACCACCCAUAAUAUAUAGUCCCACGCGUGAGGAGGGUGUGUUGGAGAUCCCACAUCGACUAGAGAUUAGAGCCUUUCAUUGUAUAUAAGUGGGUGCAAACCUCAAUCUCAUGAGUCGGUUUUAUGGGGUUGAGUUAGGCUUAAAGUCCACUCUUUCGUAAUAGUUCUUUUAAAAUAAAACCUAAAUAACUAAACUUCUAUUUAUAUAGUUUUUUCCUUUUAAUAAUAAAAUAUUCAGGUGUCAUUUUAAUUGUACAAUUUCUACUCUAAGACUAUUUUUCUCGGUCCUUACAUUUUUACUAAUAUUUUGAAUUAAAAUAUUAAUAUAACAUUGGUAAUUUGCAUCACGACAUUAUUUUUAAUAAAUAUGAGUAUUCAUAGCCAAAUUUAAAUGUUUAUUUUGAUUGAAUAAAAUUUGAAAAGUAUUAAAAUUUAGAAUAUAUCUAAAAAUCAUCUCAUUAUAAUCUAUCAUAUCAUGUUAAUAAAAUUAUCUCCAAACUUAAUUUAAUAUGUCUCAUAAGAGUAAUUUUUGUUUAACAUGUGGAGGAAGAGUUUAUUUUGGUGGUGGUGCUAACCUUAUUCACUAGUCUUGGAGGAAAUAAACUAAAAUAUUUAAUGGAAGGAAACUAUACAAAGAAUACAAAGUGACUCAUUUUGAUGUUUCUGUUUUUAAUUUCAUACAAUAUUGGACACACAUAGAUGUGUUAGAAUUUAUUUGAGAGGUCAAUUUAGAAGGUUAUCUACUGUUUAUAUCACAGUAUAUAAAUACAACAUAAAUCGCAUUUAUUCUUUGUUGUUUUUGUUUAUUGUAAAAAGACAUAUCUUGUAUUUUUAUAUUUUAUUCUAGUUUCUUUGGUAUUAUAAAAAAAUCAUUCAUAUAUAUAUAUAUAAAUUGUUUAAUAUCGUACAUAAUAUUUAAUAGAAUAAAUCUUUAAAUAUAAUAAAGUAGAGGAUGAAAUAUUCAUCAUGAUAUAUUAUUAGCCUGACAUGAAAAAAUAUUUGGAUAUAUAUAUUAAUAAAAAAAUCCAAACCAAACAAAAAAAUAAUAAUUUGAUUUUUUUUUUGUAACCAUACUUAACAUAACUUCUAUUUUUUAUUCAUAUAUAUUUUUAACGGAAAAAUCAAAUCAAACUACAGUCACAAAUGCUGGUGAUAUAUUUGAAAAAUAUAUAAUAUCACACCAUGUAUAUAAUUUUGUCAUGAUAAAAAACAAGGAUGUAUCUAAUUUUACCAUGAUAAAAAAACAAGAUAGUGUUUAGUUCAUCAUGGUUGUGACAAGGAAAGUGGUGAUUUUAGUCUAUCUAAAACCUUGAAGUAUUGUUAAAUCUAAAAUAAACAACUUCAAAUAUUAACUUUCAUCUUAAUUAAAAUAAAAUAAUUUAUACUAGGCAAAGUCUUAACAUAUUUCAUUAUAAGUGUUAUAAUUUAAUUUGACCUAUAAUUUAUCGUAUGAUUUAUUAUUCUUUUAUUUAUUUUAUCAACAAAGAUGAAGAAGGUCAAAAAAAGGUAAUAAUAUACCAUUAAAAAAAAAUAUUACAUGAAAAUAAAAGAAUAAAAAAACCUAUAAAUGGACUUUCCUCUAGUGUCCUAUAUGCUAUCAUCCAACACAAAACUAUCAAACACAAAACUAUCAACCAAAAAAUAGUUUACUAAUCCAAAAUCAAUUACAAAAAUUAUUCAUAUCUUAUACAAAUGUGAAAUUUGUGCUAUUAAGGAGAGUCGUAAUAGGAAGUAAAAAAAAAAAAGACUUUAUAUUUUUUCACAAGAACUUGUUAUUUUGCACUAGACCAAAACGCAAAAGGUAUAUUUUUAUAUAUAAGUUUUGUCAUUCAGUCCCUUCUUUAUAUUGAUUUCAUCUUAAUGAUUGCCAAAAUUCAAUUGGGUGGACACACAAUUAGAAUGAAGAACACGAAUUUAUGAUACUUGUCAUGAAUCUAAAUUUUUCCUUAUCUAUAUGAGUUUCAUUUUAAUGACUACAAACAUUUAAUUGGAGGAUAGACCAGUCAAAUAGGAGAACAAAGAUUUAUGAUACUUAUCAUAAAUUCAAGUUUUCCCAUAAGAGCUUGUUAUUUUGCAUAAGGCCAAGAAGCAAAAGGUCUACCACUAAAGUAUACUGACAAUUAGUAUAUAUAUAUAUAUAUUAUAUAUAUAUAUUUUAUAUAUAUAUAUAUAAUUACAUAGAAUAUCUGACAUUCAGUCUCUUCCUUGUGUUGGUUUCAUUUGUUUGUUAUUCUGGAUAAGGUCAAGAAGCAAAAAGUAUACUACUAGAGUAUACUGACAAUUAGUACCAUAAGACAAUCAAUAUAUAAUUACAUAGAAUGUUUCAUCUUAAUGAUUGCAAAAAUCCAAUUGGAUGGACACAUAGUUAGAAUGGAGAACAAGAAUUUAUGAUACUUAUCAUGAAUCCAAGUUUUUCCUCUUCUGUAUUGGUUUCAUUUUAAUGACUACAAACAUUCAAUUGGAAGAUAGACCAGUCAAAUAGGAGAACAAGUAUUUAUGAUACUUAUCAUGAAUCCAAGUUUUCCCAUAAGAGUUUGUUAUUUUGCAUAAGGUCAAGAAGCAAAAAGUCUACCACUAAAGUAUACUGACAAAUAGUAUAUAUAAUUACAUAGAAUGUCUGACAUUCAGUCCUUCCCUGCAUUGGUUUCAUUUUAAUAAUUGCAAACAUCCAAUUGGAUGGAUACACCAGUCAAAAUAGGAGAACAAGGAUUCAAGAUAUUUAUUAUGAAUCUAAAUUUUUCCAAAAGAGCUUGUUCCCAAAAGAGUUUGUUAUUCUGAAUAAGGCCAAUAAACAAAAAGUAUACUACUAGAGUACACUGACAAUUAGUACCAUAAAACAAUCCAUAUAUAACUACAUAGAAUGUCUCUCAUUCAGUCUUUUCUCUGUAUUGGUUCAUUUUAAUGAUUGCAAAUAUUCAAUUGGAUGGAUACAAAGUCAUAAGUGUAUCUUACUUUUAAGAAAAUAACAAAUUAAUGCAUUUAUUUAUUUAUUUAUUAUGUUUGUAAAAAAAAUGUAUAAAGGGAAGUGCAUCUGUAAUACCUUUGGACCAAAAUCUAAUUCAUUAAAGUAAAAAUUAAUAAAAAAGUAACACUAUAAAAAAAAAAGUAACAUAACAUCUAUUUUUUGUUAAAAUAUUUGCAUGAAUGUUUUUUAAUAAUAAUUUUUUUAGUAAAUAUGUGCUGUAAAUAUUUAAAUAAAUUUUUUGAUGCUAUCCAAGAAUUAAAUUUUUAUUUUUAUUUUAUUUCACCUUAAUUAAUUUUUUAUACUUAUUAGUAUGAUAAUGUAUCACAGUAAAAUUGUUACGUUUUUUUUUUAACUUUGAUUAUUUAAAAUUUUAAUUUAGAAAAUAUUAGUGAAUUAAUAUCUAAAUUAUGUAAACAUAAUAAUAAGUUGUGCUGGUUCCAAAAGAAAAGAGGAAUUAUUGUGUACUAUGAUUUGGGAGGAAACUGUCAAGUUCUUCAAUUGAUUAAUUUCUAGUUAUGGUUGACAAAUAUUUUAAAAUUCAAAAGUCAAAUUUGGCUUAAAAACUUAAAAUGAGGAAAAAAAAUCAGCUGUCAUUUUAUGAUAAUUAUUAUUAAUUACAAAAAAUGUAUUGUUAUUUUAUUUUAAAUAAAAUGAAUUUUUAAAAUUAUAACAUAGCAAUAAACAAUAAAAGAAGGAAUGAGCGAAAUAAAUUUAUUCGAAAGAGAAAAUAAAAUAUGAGAGGACAAUUUUUAUUUUUUAUUUUUUUCAAUUUUUUUUUUCAUUUCUAUUUGUCAUAUAUUUUUAUUUUUAUUUACUCUAUUCUUCACUAAUUAAAUUAAUUUUUUAUUACUUUAUUUCUUAAUUUAAAAUUUGAGUGUUUCUGUUAUUUUCAUAAUUUUAAUUUUUAAAUUUAAUCCAGUAGUUAUUUGAACAUAUGUGUUAUAUUUCUUUUAUUUAAAUUUGAAUGAAUCCAAAGUUUGACAAUAUAUAUUAAGAAAUAUUUUAAUAAUUAAAAUAAAAAUGUAAGAAACUAAUAUAUGCAAAUUUAAACAUUGGAUAACAAAACUAGAAUUCUUGAAAUUUGAUAACUAAAAUCAUAUAAAAGCAAGAGAUUUUAAAUUUAAGAAAAAAGAUUAUAAAUUGCUUUUAUUCUUUUUUUCAGUAGGGGACCAUUAACCUUUUUGACUUUGAGUAGUUUUCUACACCACUUUUUAGCCAUUGAUGUUGUCUUUCAUAGCUAGAUCAACGGUUCCAAGUUCAAGAGAGCCCAACUUGGAAGGACCAUGAAUUUCCUCUCUGAAGUUUGAUGUCAUAGGAAGGAUGAGAUUAAUGAUGUGGAUGGUAACAUGAAGAUGACAUCAUUAUGGAUGGGAUGUGAUGGAUUAUCGAUUACAUGAAAUGCUCUGAGAUUUAGGUAUGAAAGAACACUGUUGUGUUAGUGAGUAAUAAUGCUAUGAAUAUAAAAACAUAAACAAAAUAUUAGAAUGUGUUCCUAAGACUCUAUUUUAUGCAGUAAAUAUUUUUAUCAAGGGUUAAGGAAAAAUAUUAUGAUAAUAGUUCAUAAGAGUUUUUAUUUUAUUUUUAUAAAAGAUAUUAAUUUUAAUUUAUUCUAAAAUAUCAAUAAAACUAAAUUAUUUAAGUGGUUGAUAUAUUACUAAUAUAUUUUGCAAUAAUUUAAAUAAGUGUAUAAUAAGAAUUUAAUAAUGAAUACACCUGAAAGAAAUUUUAUGUCUUUUAUAAUAAAGUCAGAAGAUGCUCUCUCCUCGUUUACCAAUGGUUAAAUUAAUUUGUUGCAUUUGAUGGUAAAUUCAACUUAAACCUAGAUGAUGCAGUAUUGAAUUUAAAACUUAGUAAGAAAAAAUAUGUUUUUUUUUUGUUUUUUUUAUCGAAAUAGGAAAAAAUAUGUGUAACAGUUUAUGAUGAUCAAUAAUAACUAAUUGUGAAUAGGAAAAAUUCUAGAACUUUCACUUUAAGAAAAUAAUAUUAUUUUAAUUUAGGUUGAAGACAUUUUUAAGAAACUUUAAAAAAUGUUAAAAUACCAUAAAAAAACUACUUUUUGAACAUGCUUGCACGGAUUCAUUUAAAUUGUUUUUUAUAAUCAUAUAUAUAUAUAUAAAACUUUAAAUAUAUGUAUUGUUAUAAGUACAAUAUUAGUAACAAUAGAACCCUUUUAGAGAAAAUUGUGCAAAUUUUUUAAAUCAUAUAUAUUUUUAAAUAGUUAAAGUAUAUUUUACAUAAGGAAAGUGAAUUUAUUUUAAAAAAGAAUUUAUAUAUCAUAUUCAAUUGUUGAAUCAAUUUUUUAAAUUAUUAUUUUUUUGGAAAAAAAUUAAUUUUAGAAUAAAUGUUAAUAUAUUUUCAAUGUUACAAUCACAGUUUUUAUAAAUUUAUAUACAUCUGUAAAAUAUUUAAUACUUAAAUGAAAAUAAAAUAAUAAAAUAAAGUAUAUUUGAACUAAAAUAUCAAGAAAAAAUCAAUACUAUAUUAUUAUUAUUAUUAAAAUUGUAAUUUUAUUACAAUAUCAUUUAUUAACAUAUUUAUGAUUUUAAUAAAAAUAAAUUAAAAAUAAUGAAAAAUGAUAUAUACAUAUAUAAUUUAUUAUUUAAAUGUAUGUUUGAUCAUUAAUUUGGAAUUUUAGUAUCAAUAAAUGUAACACAUGAGUUUAAAAGAUAAUUUUUAAUUAAAUAAAAAAAUAAAAAAAUAAAAAAAAUAAAAAAACAAUAUAAGCAAUCACUUCUUAUUUCCUUAUAAUUUUAUCUCAAAUUUUGAUUAUAUGAGAUUCUUUAAGAUUAAAUCUAAGUGUUUGUUGUGUUAUCUGAUUACAUAUAUGAGGAGGAGAUAAGUCAGUUAUUUUCUAUUAAGAAUUUUAUCUUUUUUGUUUUUAGGUGUUUUGUGAGGGUUAAUUUUGUUGGUGUCAGAUUGGAUAAUAGAGACUUUCAUUAGUUUGAUAAGAUUUUUAGACAAAAUUAUCGUCUAUAAUGGUUCAAAGAUUAUGAUUUUGACUAAAAAAGAGUCUAUGAAAGAUCGUACAAGAAGAGGGAUUAACCUAGAGAAGGAUAUAGACGUUAGUUCUUAUAAUAAUCGUCGUUUAUAUCUUUAUAUAAGUAUAUUAAAAUAUUAUAUUAUGUAAAAAAUAGGCGUCGGUUACUAAAACAAUUGGCGUCUAUAGUGACUUAAUAUACUACGGUUUUAAAUCUAUAAGUCAAGACUAUAAAUGACUUGCUCAUAAAUUACAAUUUUAUAACCAGCGCAUCUAAGGUCCUAAAACACCACUGUCGAAGUGCAUUUUUAUACUAAUGCCUAGAAGUUAGAAAAUAUAUAUUUUCUUAAAAGUUAGAAAAUAUAUAUUUUCUUAGAGAAUGAGUUAAUAUUGACACCUAUUCAAUAAAAUGAUUAUUUAAAUGUAUGAUUAUUAUUGAAUUAAUAUGCAUGUGAAAUGUAUACCUUUAUCUUUAUACGAAAAUGUUGGAAUAAUGUAACUAUUAUGUGAAAGUAUUGGUUAGUAAGAUACUUUUAUUAAGGUAGUUAGUGAUUUAGAAAUUAUUCAUUCAUAGUAUUGGUAUAUGAUUUUUGUAAAUGGUUUAUUUUUUCUUUAAAAAUGUUAUUUUCAGGAUUGACAUUGCUCAAGCUGUGACAUAUACUCAAGCAAGGAUACCACUUGCAACACCUAAGGGGUGAGUUAUGAUAUUACAUGCCUCACUCAAGCAAAAGGAAAACAGUUAUUGAAAAGUAUUGAAAUAGGUGAGAGAAAGGUCAAAGUAAGUAUAUUGCAUUACGCAGAUGAUACUCUGUUUUGUUGUAAUGACAAUUUUCAGAGUUUAUUUAUCAUAAAGUCAAUUCUAUAUUGUUUUGAGCUGACUUCUAGUCUGAAAGUGAAUAAUUCUAAGAGUAGAAUUGGAGGGGAAGGUGUUAAUCUGAGUAGUUGAAAUAGUUUUUCUUCAAUCCUCAAUUGUGGUUUGAUGAAAAUUCCCUUUACUUAUUUGAGAAUGGUGGUGGGAGAAAAUUAUAAGAGAUGUAAUUCUUGGGAAUGUGUGUUAGGAAAGGUAUGAAAAAGAUUGGACAAGUGGAAAUGGAAUGACUUAUAUAUGGCUGGUGGGAUUUGUAUGAUAAAAUUUGUAUUAACCUCCUUACCUUUAUUUUAUUUGUUGAAUGUUUCUUGUUCCUGUGGCAGUGAUGAAAGAACUAAAAAAGGUUCAGUCAUUGUUUCUUUGAGGCUGAGGUUCGGAGGGGAGGAAAAUAGCUUGGGUGUCUUGGGAAAAAAAUGUACUGGCAGAGAAUUUGGUGGAAUAGAUAACAAGCAUUUUAACUAUGCUUUAUUAGGUAAAUGGAUUUAGAGGCUUAAGUCAGAGGAAAGAGGUUUAUAGAAAGAUAUUUUUGAGUCUAAAUACAGGGGUUGGAGAGAUCUAAAGGAGAAUAGAAUUAGAAAUAAGGAUUUGUGGUGGAGAGAUUUGAAAAAGAUUUGGAAUUUAGAAGAAUGGGAAAACGAUUUUGACGACAAUGGCACGUGGGAUUUGGGUAUGGGAAAAAAUGUAAGAUUUUGGAAAGAUAAGUGGUUGGAGAGAGUAGAGCUAAGGAAGGAAUUUCCAAGGUUGUAUGGUCUAUCAUUAAAUAAAGAUAAUACGUUGAAUCAAGUUAGGGAGUGGUCCGGUGUUAGUUGGAGUUGGAAGUUGGAAUGAAGAAGGAACUUGUUGUUUAGGAGUCAGAUUAAGUAGAUCAAUUGUUGUCUAUGUUAGUCAAUAAGGAAGUGGUCAAGGAAGCUACUGAUUGUGAAAAAGUUGAUAAUUGGAUUUGGAAGGAGGGGGAUUCUAGGAGGUAUACGGUUAAGUAUGCUUAUGUAAUUUUAAGGAGAGAAUUACAAGGUGAAGAUAGUUUAAUCUUUGAACAAUUUUGGAAGAUAAAGUCUAUCCCACUGCACAAAAACUGCUUGGAGAGUGUUACAAAAGGCUUUAGCAACAAAGGAUAAUUUGUCUAGACAUGGUGUUGUUUUAUUAAAUAAUUUGUGUUUUAUGUGGUGUGGAAGAAGAGUCUAUAAAUCAUUUGUUUUUUAAUUGUAAAAUUGAUUGACUUAUUUGGGGAAUGUGUUAUAAUUGGUAAGGGGUGUCGACAAUUAAUCAUUAUGAUGCGAAAUCACAUUUCAUGCAUAACAAAUUUCCUUUUUUGAAUGCUAAGAGCAAUAGAAUUUGAGGGAGUAUUUGGAUAGAAAUAAUUGGGGAGGUUUGGAAACAUAGGAAUGGUUGUAUUUUUAAAAAUGAUAGAGUUGAUCAUGAGGAAGUUUUCACUUUUGCACAAAUGAAGGUUUGGUCGUGGUUACUGAAAAAGGAACAUGUAAUCGUUUUUUCUUAUUCAGAUUGGUGAUUGGAACCUUUGGAAUGUAUGAGAUACAUUAGCAAAGGUAAUUGAGUUGUUUUUUCUGUCGUGCCUUAUGUAAUAGUAUUAUUUGGCUUAUUUGUUGGUGUUUUACAGUAGAAUGCACACUUGAACUCUAGAAGAAAUCAAUUUAUUUAAAAUACUUUGAAACUUAAAUACUAAUAUCCAUGAUCCUUAAUCAUAACUGAAAAAAUGAUUGGAUUCUAAAAAUAAGCAAAGAAAUCAGAUACAUGAUCAAGGAAAGGAAAUAACUAACUCCUAAAAUCAAGGAGUACUACUUUGAAUAAGUUAAACAUUAACAAAAUAGAAAAAAAAAGUGACAACAUUCUUAAACACGUGACUUAACACUCUUGCUUGUUUAAAUGCUGCAAACUCCAAGUUUCUUCCUAUGCUUCAAUAACUUAACUCCAAAGUUCUAAGUACCCUUGAUGUAUUUGAUGACUUUUUUUGCGGCCCUCAUGUGAGUCUCAUAUGGGAAAUGCAUGAAUUUGGAUAAAACACUUACUGCAUUUAGAAUGCCAAGUUUGGUUGUUGUUAAAUACAUUAGACAUCCUAUCAAGCUUUUGAAUUUAGCUUCAUCGACUUUGGCAGAUCCAUCUUCUUUGACCAACUUCUCCUUUUGAUUCAUGGGAGUGCCCAUUGCCUUGCAAUCUUACAUUUGAAACUUUUUAAGUAUUUUUUUGCAUACUUCUUCUGACAGAUAAAUACUUUAUCCUGACUUUGCUUAAUUUCCAUUCCAAGAAAGUAAGUCAUUAGGCUAAGGUCUGUCAUUUCAAAGACCUUCUUCAUGUUUAACUUGAACUGAUCGACCUGAUCAAGAUUAUUUCCAGUGACUAACAAAUCAUAUACAUAAAGAGAGAUGAUUAGAAUAUUUGCACCAUCAUGCUUGACAUAUAGAGUAAGUUCAAAUAAACUUUUCUCAAACCUAAACUAAUAAAGUGAUAAUCUAUUCUACUGUAUCAAGCCCUUGGAACUUGUUUUAGGUCAUAUAGUGCCUUCUUCAGUAAGUACACAUUGUCUUCAUUUUCUUUGUCCGCAAAUUCUUUAGGUUGCUCAACACAAUUUUCUUCUUUAAAAAUCCAUUUAGGAAUACUAAUUUGACAUCCAACUGAAACACUUUCCAAUUAUUUUGAGCAGCGAGAGCAAAAAGCAAUUUGAUUCUGUCAAGCCUAGCAACAGGUGCAAAUGUGUUUGAAUAAUCAACUCCAAACACUUAAACUACUAGCCUUGCUUUAAGCUUGUUGACUGAGCCAUUGGGAUUUAACUUAGUCUUAAAUACCCACUGGUGAACAUAUAUUUAUUCACAUUCAAUAACUUUAAUAAUAAAUAAAUCCAUUUUUUAAUUAAUAUUCAUAUAAUUGGGUUUAUUUGGGCCUUAACUAUUAUUUUUGUUAAUUUUGUGUUUUUAAAGUAAAUGAUCUGAAAGAAGUGUCUACCUUUGUGAAUGGGUCAAAUAUGCAAAAAUCCAAGUUUCUUCUUGAAUCAAAAUAGAAAACAAAUUCUCUAGAGAAGAAAGAGAAAAUAAAAUCUACAAUAUCCCAGAAACAGAAUUGGAAGCAAAUCUUCUGCAAAAUACAAAAAUUCUAGAAAGUUGGAAACUUAGAAACUAUUAAGAAAAUUUAAACUACAAUAUUUUUCCAAAAUUCUUGGAGCAGAAAAACCUAUAAAAGGACACAAGCAUCAAGGAGAAAGGGGGGAGCUUCAUAGGGUUUUCUUAGUUUCUUUUCUUUUGUUUUGUUUCCGCAUGGAAGGCUAAACCUUUUUGGUUGUUUCCUUUGCAAUUUCCCAUUUAGUUAUGAGGUUUUGAUCAAUAAAAGUUUCGAUUUUUAAUUCUUUAUAGUAGUUGUUUUAAUAUUCUAAUCUUCUGGAAAACUGGUUUUUGUGAGAUGUUGUACUUGAAUACAUAAUUGAAAGUCUUCCUUAUCUUAAACUUUGGUUUCUUAGUUAGUUGACAUUGUUCUAAUUAUUUUUUUGGGCGUAUAAUUCAAGAGAGAGGAGAUAAGCAUUCCCAUGGAGUAUACGCAUGGAACAAAGUGGGUAUUGAUUAAACCAGUAAACACAUGCUUUAUUGGUGAGUGUUAGUUGAAUCAGAUUGACGCAUGUUCAAUCUGGUUUAGCUCUGUAGGAGGAUUGAGAAAUGAUUAAUCUUUAGAGAACAUGUGAAGAAUUCAAUGGUGGAAGAACUUGUGGAUCAACCGCUUUUUAAUUGCUAUUUUAAUCUCUUUUAUAUUUUAUGCAUAACUAUCUCAACCCCCUUUUAUUUUUAUUAUUGCUAACUUUUAUUGCUUGUAAGAUUCUAAACAUUGAUUUACCAAACUUGAGGUUAUCUAACCGCUUCUAUACUAUCAUCUCUCUAGUGUUAGACAAAUCUACAUUAAGAUCAUCUUAAUUUGAAAACAAAACAACAACUAUCACCCACUCCACUCCUAUUAUUUUUCUGUCAUGUGGUUUUUCAACCAGCUCCCAAGUUUUUUCUUUCUCAAUUAUUGACAACUCCUCUUCAUUGUAGACAUCAAAUGUUUAUUAUGUUUUGCAUCAUGAUAUCCAGCAAGUUCACAAACAACCACAUUGCAUCUUUGAUAUAUAUAUCAGAGAGUAAUCUUGUACCUCUAAGUUAGUUCAUUCUACCAUUCUUCAUUUACAUGUUCCUUUAGAGUGUUAACAAUGGAUAAAUGCCUUGAUUUACUUGGAAUCUAAUUUGCCCUAUUUGAGUCUUUCCAACUCUAUUGUUCAUCUUCCACAAAAUAAACAUCUCUGCUCACAAUAAUACGUGCAAUUUCUGGUUGAAACACCCUGUAAGCCUUGGAACCAAUACUAUAUCCAAUAAAAAUGUAGUUGUUGCCUUCUUGUCAAGCUUGUCACAUUUGAUCCGUGGAAUAAAAGUGAAACACAGGAAACCAAACACUUUCAAAAAUUUUAGAGAUGGUCUGUAUCCAUACCAAACUUCAAAUGGUGUCUGAUCUUUCAUUGCCUUUAUUGGAAUUCGAUUUUGUAAAAGCGCAACAGUGUUUGCUGCUUCCACCCAAAAUUUCUUUGGGAGAUUCUUUGUCUUCUUUGUUGUUACUACCAAAUAGAUUCAUACAUAAUAAAUUUGUUGUUACACUACAUUUAGAGUUUGAUAAAAAUAUCAAUGAUUCUUUACCUUCUUUGUUCCUUUUCCAUGUGAUGUCUUCCACUAGUUUGACUUUCACCAAACAUUUAGUACUAUAGCAAACCACUCUGACAUCCCCAACAUCAUCAUGAUUAUCCUUUACAACUACUUCUUAACACACCAUAACACACCCAAAUUACCCUUUUACACCUGUUGUGAUGCAACAUUUUAUUAUAAAUGCAUAAUAUUAGACACUAGCAUCAUUGGGUGUAAAAUAAACAGUUCAAAUUGCCAACUCUCUUAUACUGAUAAGUGUUUAAUUUCAGUAAUAUUUCAUAUUAAAAUAUAAGCACCUAUGAAUAUUUAUUGCUAAUUUACAUGUAAAAUAAUCCCUAAUUUAUGAAUUUAUACCUGUUGAAGAUGGUUUAAACCUAACAAUACCUUCUUACAUUUUUAUGAGCUUUAUUUGAAUAAGAGCAUUGUAUUCCCAAAUUUGGUAUUAAUUGCGGAUUUUUAGGGAGAAUUGGAGAUUUUGAGUAAAGGAGAAUAUUUUGAGCUAAAAGAGAAAGCUGGAAGGUCCCAUAAUGGAAAAAGAUGCAGAAAAAGAUUGAGACUUUUUUUAUGUUUUAUCACUUAGCCCAUUAGCGCGACACAGGAAGCGACAUAACCUUAGAAAACUAGGAUAAAUAGAGGGCUAGAAGCUCAAUCCUAGUAUGCCAGAUUGAGAGAAAAACACAAGAGAGUCUCAUUUUGGGACAGAGUGUUAGAAAAAGUUAAGAGCAUAUUAGGUAGAUGGAAAGGUAGAUUUCUUUCAUUGGUCGAGAGGGUUUGUCUAAUUAAGUCGGUUCUUUCUUCUAUUCCGUUGUUCUAUAUAUCUAUGUAUAAGUUGCCUUCUACUGUGCUAAAACUGGCAAUCUUGGUAUUUUGAACUUAAGGCUUUUCAAUGCGGUUCUGCUGGGAAAGUGAAUUUGGCGUCUGGGUACCGAGAAUGGUGGUUUAUGGAAGGAAAUUCUCGAGUCUAAAUACAGAGGUUGGAGAAUUGGAAGAGCAAAGGAUCAAUACUAAGGAUUCUAGCUGGUGGAGAGAUUUGAAGGGGGUUUGGGGGAUGGAGGAAUGAGGUAGAAACUUUGAGAACUGUUUUGAGUAGAGAGUGGGAAAAAGGAAAAAUGUUUGGGUGGGCAACGAAGAUUUGAAAAGCAAUUUUCCAAGACUUUUUUCUUUGUGUGGUAAUAAAGAAGGUAAUUUAGAGUCUUGUGGGGAGUGGUUUAAUGAUAGUUGGGAGUGGAAGUUAGUCUGAAGGAAAUGUCUAUUUGAUUGGGAGAAAAAUCAGAAAGUCCAGCUGUUACAAAAGGUGCAUGGAAAGGCUCUUGUCUUGAAUUAUGAAGAUAGUUGGGUUUGGAAGGUUGGUAAGGAUAGUGGAUUUUCGGUAAAGUUUGCCUAUGUUAAUUUAAGAGGCCCUUACGAGGGAUAUAGUCUGUUUGUUUCUCUAUGGAAGACUUUUGCUUUGCCCUCAACCCAGUUUACUUCUUGAAGGGUGUUGCUUAAUUUGGUUGCCACUAAAGAUAAAUUGGAAAGACGCGGGGUCUCGGUUGUUAGCAACCUUUGUUGUUUUUGCAUGAUCAAAGUGGAGUCAACAAGUCAUUUGUUUUUUGAAUGCAGGAUUGCUUGGCUAGUUUGGAAACAAUGUUAUGCAAGGCUGGGGAUAACGUUGGUAGAUCAUUUUGAUCUUGUUUCACACUUCUUGCAUUUUAAUUUGUUAAAUGCUCCUGUCUAGGUAAAUGUUGUUUGGGGUAGUAUUUGGAUUGCAAUUGUUAGUGAAAUCUGGAAGCAUAAGAAUAAACAUAUUUUCAAAGGUGGAGUGAUUGAUCAUUCAGAAAUGUUCACCUUUACUCAAUUAAAGGUUUGGUCUUGGGUAACAUCUAAAUCUGUUUCUGCUCACUUUAUAUUUUUCGAGUGGUGCUUCGAUCCUAUGGCUUGUAUGUUUUUGAUUAAGUGAGCUUUUGCAAGGUUUCUUCCUUUGGCUAGGUUGUUUGUUGUUUUUAGUUUUGUAAGGAUUAGGUUGUUUGGAAGAGGUUAUGUGGAUAUUGUUGUGUUAUAUUCAUGUAUAAGGGUUGAGUCACCCCUAAAGUGAUUUAUAUUUAUUCAUUUUUUACUUAUUGAUAAAAAAAAUCAAUAAAAAUUAAUUAAUAAUACUUUUAGAAAUGUAAAGAUCUUAUAGAUAUAUUAAUGAAACAAUUUAAAUAAUAACACAACUUAUUGUAUCUGAUGGAACAUUUGAAUUGCUAAAUGAUAAACCUCCUAGUAAAGUAGUCAUUUGACAUUUCAUUUCCCUUUCAAUCUAUUGCUUCAUUUGAUAAUGUAGAGUUUUCAUAUUGUUGAUAUUCGAUUAAUUAACAUUGAGAUUACAAUUCACUUUGAAGUUGAAUGUUAGCCUUUUCUUGUUUUUGGAUAAUGUUAGUCAAAUCUUUCUAUUCUAACUCUACAUCAUUUGUUCUUUUGUGCAUUCUCCACUUGACUUUGAACAAAUUGUCUCUUUAUAUUUUUUUUCUGUCAUGGAUGCACUUCCUAUAUACUUUGUGAGUGAUUUGAUUUUGUUCCUUGUAUAAAUGAAAAAUGUUUAACUAAAGGCGCAUGUACUUUUUAAAUUUAUUCUCCAUACACUUCACCCACAUGUUAACAAAAAAUAAUUAAUAUUUAGAAUAUUUCAAAAUAUUAAAUUAAAUAUGAUCCUCCAUAGAGCUUUCCCAAUUGAACCUAGGCCUUCUCCACCUUAAUAACCUCCAGUUCCACCCUACAUCCUCCCAAGUACCCACUUCAGCCACCAUCUUUCCUUGGUCCAACAAAAUAGAAAACAACCUGGGAAACAGAGUUAUAAGCUUAUUAUUCUCCAACCAUACGUCUUCCCGAAAUCUGACUUUGUCACUAGCUCCAACUUUCCAUUCAAUCGAUUUCUGGAACCAUUCGUCGCCUUCUCCCUCAUCACAAGCCCUAGACAGAUCUCUCCACCACCAAGAAUAAUAAUUACUCGAAUCUUGAGUUCUUACUCCCCCCGUGUAAUACUUGGAUGCUAGAAUCUCUUUCCAUUUCCCCUUUUCCUCACUCAAUAGUCUCCAGUUCCAUUUUGCUAGCNNNNNNNNNNNNNNNNNNNNNNNNNNNNNNNNNNNNNNNNNNNNNNNNNNNNNNNNNNNNNNNNNNNNNNNNNNNNNNNNNNNNNNNNNNNNNNNNNNNNNNNNNNNNNNNNNNNNNNNNNNNNNNNNNNNNNNNNNNNNNNNNNNNNNNNNNNNNNNNNNNNNNNNNNNNNNNNNNNNNNNNNNNNNNNNNNNNNNNNNNNNNNNNNNNNNNNNNNNNNNNNNNNNNNNNNNNNNNNNNNNNNNNNNNNNNNNNNNNNNNNNNNNNNNNNNNNNNNNNNNNNNNNNNNNNNNNNNNNNNNNNNNNNNNNNNNNNNNNNNNNNNNNNNNNNNNNNNNNNNNNNNNNNNNNNNNNNNNNNNNNNNNNNNNNNNNNNNNNNNNNNNNNNNNNNNNNNNNNNNNNNNNNNNNNNNNNNNNNNNNNNNNNNNNNNNNNNNNNNNNNNNNNNNNNNNNNNNNNNNNNNNNNNNNNNNNNNNNNNNNNNNNNNNNNNNNNNNNNNNNNNNNNNNNNNNNNNNNNNNNNNNNNNNNNNNNNNNNNNNNNNNNNNNNNNNNNNAACAAAGAUUUUCAUCCUAACUUUCCAGAAUUGGUUAUUCAAACCAUAGAAAAUAGGUGGUCUGUUGAUUGAUGCACCCUCUCCAUAGAACGAAAGUUGGGGGCUCGAAGACGAUCAGAUACCGUCCUAGUCUCAACCAUAAACGAUGCCGACCAGGGAUCAGCGGAUGUUGCUUUUAGGACUCCGCUGGCACCUUAUGAGAAAUCAAAGUCUUUGGGUUCCGGGGGGAGUAUGGUCGCAAGGCUGAAACUUAAAGGAAUUGACGGAAGGGGCACCACCAGGAGUGGAGCCUGCGGCUUAAUUUGACUCAACACGGGGAAACUUACCAGGUCCAGACAUAGUAAGGAUUGACAGACUGAGAGCUCUUUCUUGAUUCUAUGGGUGGUGGAGAGAAUGAUUAGUAUCUUCUUCUCUAUUAAAUAAAAAAUUAAAUAUAUUUAACUGGAGAGUGGAGAUUUCUUACCUUACUUUUUUUGAUUUAAACUGAUAUUCUCUUUUAUUAAAAUUGUAGAAUUUUAAAAUUGAUUUAAGAAACGGAUUUUAUGAUUCUCCACUACACAUAACCCAUGUAUCCUACUUCCCACUUUCUCUCUCAUGUAUAGGUACCUACUCCCCACUUUCUCUCUCCAACACAUUCUUUUUUUUACCAUACUUUUCAUGUAAAUAAAUAAAUUCAUUCAUUCUCUUACCGCUCUCACUAUUUUAUUAACUUACUCUUUAACAGUAUACUCUUUAACUUCUCAUUUUGAUGUUAUUAAGAGAAAUUGUUUUUGAAGAAUAAAAAGAUACUAAAAAAAGAGAAAUAAAAAAUGCGAAUACACACUACUCUUUAAUUGUAUACUCUUUAACUUCUCAUUUUAAUUUUAUUAAGAGAAAUUGUUUUUGAAAAAUAAAAAAAUACUAAAGAAACAAAAAUAAAAAAUGCGGAUACACAGUGCCUGUGUUCCCACUGGUCUAUACCUAUAUAUAAAGGGAUUCCCCACUUUAACUGCUCUAAAUUGUUUUCCUACUUUAUCCUUGCUUAAUAUUUUGUUUUAUCAAUUUAUUUUGGUUAUUUGGACAUUUUGGAUUCUCCACUUUAACUGCUCUAAAUUGUUUUCCUAUUUUAUCCUUAUUUAAUAUUUUGUUUUAUCAAUUUAUUUUGGUUAUUUGGACAUUUUAUAAUUUUAGAAGUUAAUAAAACAGUUUUUUAAUUUUAUUUUAUUUUAUUUUUUCUCACUACUUAACUCACAGGAGAGUGGAGAAAUGUGUUACUUUUUUGUUUUAAACUAAUAUUCUUCUUUAUUAAAUAAACGUUUUUUAAUUUUAAAAUUUUAUUUUAUUUGUUCUCAUGGGCAGGUGAGUGGAGAAAUUUGUUACUUUUCUGUUUCAAAACUAAUAUUCUUCUUUAUUAAAUAAGCGUUUUUUAAUUUUUUAAUUUUAUUUUAUUUGUUCUCACUAAUGGGCAAGAGAGUGGAGAGAUUGAUACGUUUUAUUAGAGAAGAGUGGAGAGAGAGGGGUGAAAUAUGGGUUUAUGCACGGUUACUUUUUUUAGGCAAAAAAAAUUAUAUAUAAGAAAACUAUGAGAGAGGAAAAAUAUAGAAACAUCUUAAAAACUAUUGUCUGAUGCUAUUUGAUAUUCUUUCUACAAAGUCCCAAGUGCGCGCAAAUUCAAUUUUGGUAUUCUUUCAACAAAUUCAAUUUUUGUGUGUUUUCUUUCAUAUUUCUCAAGCACAAGAGGAAGAAGGGAGAUAGAGAAGAAAUCGAGAAGUUCCAAGUUGUGAUGCUCAGCGUGAGCAAACACUUUUAUUGUUGACCCUUCCAACAUCUAAAUGCAAGCACACACAGUCUUCCUUGGUUGCCACUAUGCCUCCCGCCUCCUCAAAAUUCUAAUUUUGAGAUUCUGAAACAGUGUAUUACUGUUCCUCUUCACAUUUCAUCACAGCCACUUCACUAUGUAUUCUGUCUCCUCAAUGCUUCAAAAACUCUAAUUUUUAGAUUCUGAAAUGUGUAUUGCUAAUUUUCUUCAUAUUUCAUCUCUUUUAUUUAUCUUAUUUUGCUUUUCCUAUUUCUUUAAUGUAUACAUUUUAUUUUAUUUUUUCCAAUAGAGAAGUUUAGUUUAUUUUAUAAAUUAAUAACUUCAAUUUCUUUACUCAUUAAGAAUCAUGUAAGGAUCUAGAAAAUAACCAGAAGUGGUAUAUUUUAAAUGAUACCUGAAUAUUUUAUUAUUAAAAUGAAAAUGACAUAUAAAUAGAAAAUUCAGUUAUUCAGGUUUCAUUUUAAAAUAACCACCAUCUCUCUAAANNNNNNNNNNNNNNNNNNNNNNNNNNNNNNNNNNNNNNNNNNNNNNNNNNNNNNNNNNNNNNNNNNNNNNNNNNNNNNNNNNNNNNNNNNNNNNNNNNNNNNNNNNNNNNNNNNNNNNNNNNNNNNNNNNNNNNNNNNNNNNNNNNNNNNNNNNNNNNNNNNNNNNNNNNNNNNNNNNNNNNNNNNNNNNNNNNNNNNNNNNNNNNNNNNNNNNNNNNNNNNNNNNNNNNNNNNNNNNNNNNNNNNNNNNNNNNNNNNNNNNNNNNNNNNNNNNNNNNNNNNNNNNNNNNNNNNNNNNNNNNNNNNNNNNNNNNNNNNNNNNNNNNNNNNNNNNNNNNNNNNNNNNNNNNNNNNNNNNNNNNNNNNNNNNNNNNNNNNNNNNNNNNNNNNNNNNNNNNNNNNNNNNNNNNNNNNNNNNNNNNNNNNNNNNNNNNNNNNNNNNNNNNNNNNNNNNNNNNNNNNNNNNNNNNNNNNNNNNNNNNNNNNNNNNNNNNNNNNNNNNNNNNNNNNNNNNNNNNNNNNNNNNNNNNNNNNNNNNNNNNNNNNNNNNNNNNNNNNNNNNNNNNNNNNNNNNNNNNNNNNNNNNNNNNNNNNNNNNNNNNNNNNNNNNNNNNNNNNNNNNNNNNNNNNNNNNNNNNNNNNNNNNNNNNNNNNNNNNNNNNNNNNNNNNNNNNNNNNNNNNNNNNNNNNNNNNNNNNNNNNNNNNNNNNNNNNNNNNNNNNNNNNNNNNNNNNNNNNNNNNNNNNNNNNNNNNNNNNNNNNNNNNNNNNNNNNNNNNGAUGAGAAGUGGUUGUGUGAUUUCAGAUGAUGAUUGAUUUAAAGAGCAUAUAUUUGGAAUUAAUUAUGUGUUUUAAGUAAAGUUUGAGAUAUAUUUGGAUUGUUUAGAAAGUUUAUAUAUAUAUGAAGUGAUUGAGUGGUGCAUUGAUAUGUUAAAUGAUGUAUGUAAUGAGGUUAAAGUGUGAUCAAGACGUAGUAUGUUCAGGAAAGGAAAUACCAUGUUGAGAUUGUUAUUAGGGUGUAUUGAUUUGUGAGUGUCCUGUGAAUGAGACGAUCCUGACUCUACUGAUAUAAUGGAAUCAAAUAGAUGAAGUUAUUCAGUUGGUGAGAGUCGAAGGAGGUCCAUUUGGCUGAUUCUGAGGUUUGAAAGGACUGAUCAGAGCAUAUACAAAUUGGGAUUUACCCUGUCAUAUGAAGAUGAUGAGAUAUUGAGAUAAUUAUGUGCACGGCUGUGUGGGUUUCACAGCAGUAGUAUGACAGGUGCAGGUCUCUGGAUGCUAAUUUCAAUACACGAGUCUUCCGGAAGUAGAGUCAAGUGUCUAUGUGUUGUGAGUCAGUAAAAGUCUGACAUAUGAAAGAUGAAUUUUAUGAAUGUAAUAGACUAUGGUUUGAGAAAUCAUAUGAGAAUUGAUGAAUUAUGCUUAUUAAUUUGAAAUUUAAAUUAUAUCAAAACUUUUUAUAUAGAUAGCUUACCCUGUUAUUUGUUUGUGUUUGUUUCUUUAUCUGUGAUGAUCGUGUUUUACAUGGGAGCAGAGAUUUCAGGUGAUAGAGCUCCUUAGCUGGAGAAUGAGAUAAUUUUAUUUAAAUGUUUUGUUUUGUUGUUAAAACUUUUGAUGUAUAUAUAUUAAAUCCCUAUGAAGAGGGAUAUUUCUUUUGAGAUACACAUAUGAGAAAGUAGUAUAUAUUAUUUGUAAUUAGAUAUUGCUUGUUUUACUUUUAUUACAUUAUAUAUGGGUAAAAUUAAGGAUGUUACAAAUCACAUUAUUAAAAUAAUAUUACAUUUGAUUUAUUGUGAUAAAAAAAUAUAAUUAUUUAAUUAUUUUAAACAUAUUUAAUUAAAAAUAUAUAUAUAUUUAUAUCUUCUUCUUCUAUUUAUUUAUAUAUAAAGGGGAUUCUCCUUUUUAACCGCUCUUAAUUUUUUCCCUAUUUUAUUCUUAUAUAAAUAUUUGAUUAUAUUAUGGACAUUGUCAUUUCUUAUUUUCUCUAAAAUAUGUAAUAUAUGUGGAGGAACAAUUUUAAAUUGAAAUAGAGGUUCGAGACGGUUUUGAAUUGAAAAAGUUGUUACUUUUCAAACAGUUGCAUAGAAAGAAGAAUGUCUCUUCAAAUUUGAGAGAAAGAAAAAUAUUAGUGGAAAUACUGGAGAAGAUGAACGGUUUUGAAUUGCAAAAGUGGUUAAUGUGUGUGACAUUCUUUGGAAAUAAAAUUUGUAAAGAAUAAAACACUUAGAAUGAUGAUCAAUUACUCGCAUUGGUUAAACCAAUUCACAAAGUAUAAUAAUUUUACAUAAUAAUGAUAAUGUUAUUUUUUAUUUAUAAUAUACUAUAAAUUUAUAUUGUUAAGAUAAAUGUGCAAAUAAUAAUAUUAUUUAUUCAAAUUUUAAUAUUAAACAUAAAUAUAUAUAUAUAUAUAUAUAUAUAUAUAUAAAAAUGAAAAAAUAAGAAAUGCGGAUACACUGGCGCGUGAGCGCCUGUGUUCCCGCUAGUAUAUAUAAAUUAAAUUAGGUAAAUAAAUCAAUAUCAAUUUUAAUAAUGAUUUAUUUAAUUUAAAAAAAACAUGGUAUACAAAUACAUAUACUUGUUUUAAGUUGCUUAACAUUAGAAUUUAAUUUUAAUGGUCUUGUUAUCUAUAAAAUAUAAAAGUAAAUAAUCACAUUUUGAAAGAAACACAAAUGAAACACUAGUUAUAUUAUCAACAUGCAUUAGAUUAUAUUGUUUAAUUAAACUAAAUAUAAACAUUUAUAUAUUUUAAGAGUCUCAUUAUAUAACUUUUUUACUA